rnacentral:lncRNA from 1 species
AAUUAAUAACUUGUCCCAUUGAGUGCCAACUACCAAGCAUCAUUAUUUUCAAUCACUUGAAAUCAUAUAGCAGUCUUAGACACUUAAAUUAAGGGGGUUUAAUUGAAAAAUAAUAAUAAUUUAACUUGGGUGUUUAUUUUUUAUUUAUUUAUUUGAACACAUUUUAAGUCUCAUAAACUCAAAUUAUAUUAUUUUCUUUUAAAUUUUAAAAAAUAAUAGUAAUAAAUUACUUAUUUUAAAUGUUGAGCUUGUUCUGGCCACAUUUGUGAAGGUAUCUUUUUUCCAUUAUUUUCUUUUAAAUUUUUAAAAGUAAUAGUAAUAAAUUAUUUAUUUUAUAAUUUGAGCUUGUUUUGGUCACAUUUACUAGGGUAUCAUUUUUCUAUGUAAUUUCUACAAAAUAUUUUUAAAAAAGUUAUGUGGCUAUUGGGAUUUGAAUCAAGUCUUCAAAACCACUAAAUAACACUAUUACCACUAAACUAUAAAUAUUUUGUCAUAUAAGAAAUGUGUUCAAAUUCUUUUUAUUUAAUCAUUUUAGAAGAGAUUGGAGGCACAUUUUAAAAAAGCCUUAUCCUGGUUUAACGGCCCUCGUUGUGCCAUCCAGCCUUAGGUGCCAAGAGAGUAUGAAUUGGCACUUAAGGCCGCACAACACAGCAAGGGAACAAGCGGGCCAUGAUAUUUGGUAUUAGAGCCAUAAUCACUUAUGGGGUGAUUGCGUUGUUUGAGAGGAAGGACGUCAAACCUCACUCAUGAUGACCAAAGGGGGAGGGAGCAAAACUCCAAUGCGAAGAAGGGGAAGAAUAACAAGAAGAAACACACAAAUUCCAGCUCACAAAGCAUUGCAAGCUUUCUUUAAGUAAUAAGAGUUCUUUCCUCCCAUUUUGAGCGCGUUUGAGUGAGUGCUCUUUUUUUUUUUUUGAGAAUAAAGUAGUUCUUACAUUUAAUUGAAGCCAUCAAACAAGCACAAAACAUCGGCUGGGAAUUCAUCCCGCCAAAUGACAGAUUCUGAGCUUUUUAAAGCUCUUUUGGCUAGAGAGUGAGCACUAGCCAUCGGCUGAGUGCUCUUUUUUACUUUCAAAUCCAACGACGCUUGGAGUAUGCAAGGAUGACUUAAGGACAAGAGAGUAUGAAUUGGCGCGUAAGGCCACACAGCACAGCGAGGAAAUAAGUGAGCCAUCACACACUAGACCUAAGCUGGAUUCGGCCCAUAGUCUCAAGUUUCUCCUCAAACUAUAUGUGAAAACUAAACCAACUAAUCAAACUAAACCAAUUAGCAAAUAGAGAGUAGUCAAUACAAUUUUAUUACUCAUCAAUAGAGGUUGUAAUUUAUGUUAUAUGUGCUAUGUCAAAUUUAAAUCGAUUUGGAUUUGACCCUUUUAUCAUUAUAUCAUAAUUGUGUCAUCGCUCGUUUAACAUUAAUUUAAUAUAUAUUUUUUAAAAAAAUUAUCUAAUAUAUUUUUAAAUAUUUAUCGUACUACCUACUCAAACUUUAAUUAGUUUUGUUUUUAAAUAUGUUUAAAUAAAAUUUGAAAUAUGAAAAAUAUAACGCAAUUCUAUCGGAAUAUAACGUAGUUCUAUUGGAUUAAAAAUAACUCAAUAUAAUAUGAUUUAAUCGUUGUAUAGAAAAGUAUAAACACAAACUUGAAAUGAUUAUUAAACAGAUGAAUGAAAUUUUACCUAUUUAAUAAUCUUCUCAAUAUUGGCUUACUCAAACACAUUAUUCCUUGCCAAGUCCAUGGAUCCUGUCAAAAUUUGCUAUCUUUACUUAUAUCAGUCCUCACAUGUUAAACUUUGAAGCAAAAUGACUUUAACACCGAUAUAUAAGGUCAUUGAGUCGCGGAAUCCUUAUGAACUGUUAAAUCGAUUUAGGGUGCGUUUAGGAUUGAGGUGCUGUAGCUUUUAAGUUACAGCUGCUGUGAAAAAAAAUCUGUAAUUAUGAAACAAAAGUUAAUAAUAUAUAGUAAAUAUAAAUUUUAAAUAAUAAUUUUGAUAAAAUUAUUAAAGAUAUAAUAAAUUUUAUAUUAUACAAGUGAAAAAUCAUAUCAACAUAGCUUAAAAGCUACAGUAGCUAGUGUUUACCAAACACUUUAGUGCUGUAACUUUUAAACUACAGCUGCCCAACCUCAAUCCCAAACGCACCCUUAAGGCUCAAGAAGAAUUAUUUAACAUUCGUAAAUAAUCAACUGUCCGAAAAAUGUAAACAAACAAAAUCCACUUCAUAUGUAACCAGACCCAGUUUCAAUUUUUAACUAAAUUUAAAAGCAACCCAGAAGUUUAACACCUAAACAAUUGCCUGUUGACAUUUCCAGAGAGACCAACUGAUGCAAACGCAUUUAAGCUCUCAUAAAAUUAAACACGAAGCUUAAAAUGGACCAGCCGAUUCAAGUAAAUUUAAUGUUAAGCUAAAGAACAUCUUAUGAUCCCUUCUUUCAAGAACGAUUGCAUCUCCUCCACCGUGUCCACUUCCUUCUUUGUUAAGUUUAACUUGUUUAGCAUUUAAGAGACCAAUAAUAAUGCAGAUGGGUGAAGUGAAAAGCAUUCAAUAAGAUAGCUUUGGUUGGCAAUCAAGUAAGUACAGCGGUACACCUACCUACGUUCGUUCAAUUACAGAAUUUAGCACGCACGCUUUAUUUUAUUUACACAUUGGGUUCACUGACAGUGAUGAAACCACAAAGAAGAUAUAGAGUCUGUUCGGGAGAGUGGUGAGGUAGAAAACCCAGCUACUAAAGUGUUUGGUAAUACUUGUAGCUGGGCUUUGGUAACUUAACAAAUUUUUUUUUCCAACUUCUACUUCAUAGUUAUAGUUUUUACUCCACAGCAGCUGCAGCUUAAAAAUAACCGUAACUCACUCCCAAACACACCUAUAAUUUUCAAUAUUUGUUCAAUAACUCAACAUCAGUCAUCAGCUAUUGCAUUCACUGAAAUGAUAUUAGAAUCUCUACAUUUAUUCCUUUGUCCCUGUAAUUGCUAUUUAAGUGUUUCAAUUUUGAGUAACCAGAGAUGCAACCUCUCUGAAUAAACAAUUGGUAAGUGGAACUACAAAUGCCAAUGCAUUUAAUAAAAUUGUUCUACUGUUUUUAUUUUCAAAAAUAAUUUUGCACAACUUUACCAACCAGACUCUGUCAAUCUGUCAUCCUACUUUCCUUACAGCAGUGUUACAUUUACAUGUUCAAGUACCAUUAUGUCGUUGCGGAAGCUAUUUGAUGAAUCUGCAUUUUCAAGUUUGCUGACGAUGCCGAAGCCUGGCAUGAGAGAGCUGAUUUGAAGAAAAACAAUUUGCUCUACAGUAAGCUUGUCAAGUUUUCUUGUCUACCACUCAAAAAACAGAAAAAUAAAUGUGAUAAUCUUCAGUUGUUAACUAGUAUUGAAUUGGGAACGUAAUUCGGGUACAAUACAACGAGGAGCUAUAUGUUAAAUGCUAUUUCAAGAAUAAUGUAAAAGGCAACUGACAAAACAUUUCCGUGAUGUGCAGUUGCUCAUCAUCGUUCCAAGAUCAAGCUAUCAUGAUUUAUUCCAAUAUAUAACAUGCAUGCGAUGAUUUAUUGAUUGUAAUUAACAAUUUAUACUCUAGAGGCACAACAAAUUAAAAAUGCGUCUUGUUACUCUGUUUAAGAUACAUAUUUUGGCAACAUACAAUCCAAAUGUAGUGACUAAUUACGAAACAAAAAUCAGAUUCAACGUAAAAUCCUAGGCCUUCUGUUGUCAACCUCUCCACAAGUCAGCAAAGGAAACAAGAAGAUAGAAACUACCCAGACAGAAGUGUCCGUCAAACAGCAAUCCAUCAACUCCUAGUCUAUAACCUGAAAAAGCCAAGAUUUAGAUUUAACAAUAAAUUCAAAAUAUGAAGCAAGUUGCUUCAGCAUGAUAAUCAACUGUCACUUACGUGAACAUUUGAGUGCGGUUACGAGAGAGCUGAGGCCUUUUUAUUGGGGAGAGUAUUAAAUUCCUAAGCGUCAUUGAGGGGUUAGCAGCACCAGCUCCAAAAGCCGGGCGAGCAUCAGCUCUUCUGUUCCCACCAUCAACUGGAAUGACUGGUUGUUUUGCUGGUGAGCCUGUGGAUAUGUCGAAGGGACCAGAGUUCGAACUAUUCUGUCUAGCUGGCCAAAUAUCCUCUCUAGGCCCUGGAGUUCCAGGAGAGUAAACCGACCAAUCUGCAAAAUGUAAGUCAAUUGGUUUUGGAGAAAUUUAAGCAAAAAUGGGUUACUAAACGAAAAUACAUAUUCAUAAAUCUAUUAAAAAAACCAAAAGAACUUAAAUGCAUCAAGAAAAUUUCUAGUGUCAAGUGGUAUUGCUUAAAAAGGUGAUAAUGAGUAGAAACAUGCAACAUCCAUUAGAAUACCUUUUCUAAUAGGGUCUCUGUUAUCCAUCAUGUUAGCUGCAGGGUUUGAGAACAAAUCCGGGUCAUUUCUUGGGUAGAAACUAUUUGAAGGCUGGAUUGCUGAUCUCUUCAUUGACUCGUACUCACUCCUCAAUUGAUCAUACAUUUCGUCAAGUUUUCUCUUCUGUCUGGUAUUAAAACUUACUCGGUUCUUUUAGGUAUCCAAGAACCAGACCUUUAGCAUUAAGAAACACUAGGUUAGGGGACACAAUGAUAUAGACAAAAGACUGACCUAGAUUUCUCAGAAAACUUUUCCUGGAGUUCCUGCUUAUCUUUGGACAAACUCUCAAUCUCUUGUUCCAUCAUCUGACACCUCUUGGCCAUUUUCUGAUAUGCUGUAUGUACCUGCUCUAAUUUUUCUGUGAACUUUUCUUGCAUUGCCUCACAUUUCUGUCGGCACUGAGCAACAAUUCUGUUCAUCUUGUAUUGCAUCUCCAAUUCCUUUUGUCCCAAAUAGAACAUUACACUUCUAUAUGCACUCUUCAUCACUGAAUUUGUUUAAGGAAGAUGCAGGGUCUAACAAUUUGCUAGAUAGGAUGCUCAUCUCAUUUGAGUUUGGUAACUCUCUCUAACUAGAGCAUACAUAUGAGGUACCAACUCACCUUCUUACUUUAUUUUUAGAUCCACUUUGUUUAGCAACAGAUGGAUUUCAAAAGAAAAUUAAGUAUCGAGCCUGAAAGCGAAGUAGAAUAUUAAGGAUACAUAUCUGUGGAGAAACACCAGCCAUGGCCAUCUGCAACAGAAUGUACUGAGAAUAUUAGCAUUUAGCAACAAACCAGCUAGAUAAAAGGCAGCGGUCGAAAGGAAAAGCAAAAGUUUUCAGCAUGGUCUGAAUUUCACUAUAAGAUAGUGACAGCAGGUAUAAACAAAUGUAACUAAUAAACAAAGUGAAGAAAUUGCUUACAUUAACCCAUUCAUCAUUUGGAUUGAUAUCCACAGGUUUCAUAAGGCUGUCAAAGGAAAAUAAACAGGGUAAGUAGAAUUAAUUUCACCAAAUAUCCAUAUGGAGGUAAGAGACAAUAUUACAAGCUGCUCAAAACACCCUUCCAAAGGUGUUAAACAACAAUGGGGGAUUAUUUUCAUUCAUAUAGCUGCUUGCCCCUCUGAGUGAGAAGGAAGCUCUGUAGCACAUGUAGGCCAAAGGAUGAACUAAAUAGAUGGAAAACUUAGAAAUAGAACUUUUGAACCCCAACAGUUAUGAGCAACCAAUUUCUUAAAAAUAUAAUGCAUAUUCUAAAUGACAUUCCCAACACCAAGCAGGCAAACACAUAAAGACUUCCUACCUCUUAGAAAGCACUUGAUCACAAAUGGGACAUGCCGCAUCAUUGCUAAGGAUCUUGUUGGCAUCUUCAGUGCCUUUUACACGGUUAAGAAAAUUUUAGGCAAGUGAAAUGAUUUCUUCAUCUUUAAAUGAAAGAGAAAAGUUAUAUAAAAUGUAUAAGAAAGCAAAAAGCAGAAUUAUAGAAUGCAUUUGGAUACACAGCAGGUGACCACAAGUAGUGGAAACGGCCCGCCCUUCUAAUUCUCGCCAGCAUGCAUUGCAUCUCAUCUCAGAUUUUGGUAUUAGUCUUUACCCCACAAGAUAACAAGGUUCUUCACAAGUUAAUAACUCUCCUGUAUGGAAUAUCAUGAAUGAAUCAAAUGAGAGGCUCAACAAUAAACAAACUAGGUGGACUUGUAACCGGUCCCCUAAAGAGAAAAACUCACGGAGUUUGGCUCAAAAAUUUCAAUUGCAACACCAAUAACUCUCAUGAGGGGCAUCAAAAGCAAUGAUCUCAAAGCUAAGAGAUUCACAUAACAUUAGGCAACCAAACAAGGUAUGGAUCACAGCAAGUCACUAAAUUCACAUUCAGACAAGCAUCCAAAAUUGAAGUUUUGAAAACAGAAAUUUGAAAAUGAAAAUAUAUCAAAAGAAAUCUUGGACACUAGGAUCAGUUAUAAUCAGGAUGGAAACAACAUGAAAGCAUAAUCCACAACUCACUGAAACGAGGUUUCUUUGUAAAGCACUUAAGCUGCCUAUGGUAGUAAGAAGUUAAACAUGAGUUUGUUAAUCAUGCAAAGUUAGAUAUCGUGAAUUUGUAAAUUCCAAAGCAGAUGGAUCCAUAACUUGCUAUACCACAUGUUUAAGCAUGAAUAAAAAAAGAAGUGAUUGUCAACCAUGGAACACACACAAACACACAGAAAAAAUUAAAAUUAAAACUAAAAAAUAAUAAAGAGGCAUGGAUACACAUUUUAACAUAACAGUGAUAUGUGUUACUCAUAAUCACAGCUCCCGUGCUGCAAGCAAUAUAUGCUUAAAUCCUAAGCAGCAUGUGAUAUAUCGAUCCCAACCAUUAGUUGCAGCUCAAUUCUACCAAGAAUGCAGCAGCUCGUCCUUAUUAGAUCUAAAAUUAGAAUUGUAACUCCUAAGCUAACAGAAUUACAUAAAGAAGUUAUUCAAAUGAAAGAUAGUAAGGCUUAUUAUCGAACUUAUGAAUUGCCAGAUAAUUUUAUGCAACUAGGCAUUCCAAUUUCCUUAUAACCAGAGAUCAUUGAAAAUUCUAAAUCUCACACAUUAUUAUUCUAAUAUUACAACAAACGACAUGACAAAACUAUACUAUUGAAUGACAAAAAUUGCCCUUGUAUUGGGGCUGAAUGCCAAAUAAUCAGAAAACCUUUACAGGGAUGUAAGGGAAGACUUCAGAGUUUUCUUCUCAUAAUCAUUUUCUCUAUAAGUCUCAAGAUCCCGCUUAAAUUUGAAAUCAGAUCAUAAUUACUACCGCAUUAAGUGUUAAAACGACAACCAAAUCAGUGUUUCCGAAAGCACAUUCAAUUCAAAGCACUAAGUUCACCUAUUUUUUCCGUCAAUUAGACCGCAGACCUCAAUUUGAGAAAUCUAAUCAGUAAUAAUUUUAUUUUUUUUUCACUUUUCCUAGGCGUCCAAACCCUACUGGAAACAAGGCUUCUCAAUCAAAACACACAGAAUCUCCAAAAUAGUCCAAAUGAAAUCGAACUUAACAAUCGUCUUAAAGCGUAGCGUAAUCAGAAACGGCAACCAAUUAGCGUUUUCAAUACUGAACAAAACAAAAAAGCACAGGAGAAAGUUCAAAAUUCGCCAUUAAAAGAUUCGAUUGAAUGCAUAAUUCUUAAUAUUUCAAGAGAAAGUAAGCUGACCUGGAUGUCGAUGAUGGACGAAUCAGGACCGUUGAAUGGUGAAAUCACGGAGAUCUUUGAAAUAUCGGUGGAGAUUGGAAAUGAAAAUUAUGAAUUUAUGAAUACAAGUUUGGGGAUAUUUAUAUUUGGAGGGAAAUAAAAUUUGCUUCGUUGCGGGUUGAAAGUAACUUCAUUUAAUACGCGACACAUGGAGACCGUCCGAAAUCGAAAAGCCCGACGUGUACAGCCCAGAUGCGCGUCGAGUCUUCGCGGGAAUUUGAGGAAUCAUUCUCUUUUCAGGAUUUUUAAAAAUAAUAAUAAUAAUUCUUCAAAGACGAAAAAGUAAAACCAAGGAUGAAUCGAGUUAAUAAUUAAAAAUGGGUUUGAUGUAUCAUUUUAAAAUUGUUUUAAAAUUUUAAAAAAAUUUCGGAAAACAUGUUUAAUAUUUUAUUUGAAAAUAGAUUUUUGUCGGAUAUUAAACUUUAAUAAUUUUUUCCGAAUGUUUAUUUUAAUAAUUUUAUUUUAUAUCAAACUAUUAGUAUUAUCAUGAGCAUUAAUUCUACUUAUCCUGUUUUAUUUUAAAUAGUAGUAGUUAUUAUCACUUACUAAAUUAAACUUGUUCGCAAUGGGCUCAAAAGAAUGCGUGUAGAGUAAUUAUAUUUAAUCCUCUUAAAUUCUCUUAUUAACCCCACCAUUUAGUUAAUACUACUUAUUUCCAAAAUUACCUUCAUAAAAAAACAAACAUUUUUUUUGCUUCUUUUCACUCUCAUCUUCUUUAGGCAAAAUUUCAUUUCACCGUUUCCUUUGUAAGAAUAUAAUUCUUUUUUAAUAAUUAAUAAAUUUUAAUUUGUAUAAUUUAUUGUGAAGUAAUUGUUGAUCACUUUUGCUACUUGAUGAGGAUUUCAAUAUUUCUUUAAAGAAUUUUGCAUGAUUGAAACUUGAAAUGAAACUAGAAGCUUUAAUUUAGUUCCUUCUAAAAAAAAUGGCUUAGGUCUAGUUUGAAAUUUUUUAGGAUGCUUUGUGAUUGAGAAUUAAAUUUUAUAGUUUUGCUAUAUUUUAGAGAGAGGAAAAAUGAAAAAAAAAAAAUGUAUCCAUUGAAGUAACGGUAUUUUUUAAUAUAAAAAAAAAAAAAGAAGUAACGGUAUUUUAGAAAUAUACUGAAUAAAUUUAAAAAGUGGAGGUUAACAAGAUUACUUGUGCUUUCAAGCUCAAUAGGGUCCAAGCUGCACUAGGCUCCCAACAAGGGCCCACAUGAAAAACCCAAGUAAUUUGGGUUAGUGGAAGACAAGAGUGAUCCUUACAAGAGUUGUGCCAUUUACACCCCUUAAAAUUUCCUUAUAAACCCUUUGUUUUCCCCCAAAAUCCCUUGUUUUGGUUCCACAAAUGACCCUCCAUCUAUCUUUCUCAACAUACGCAAAUAAAUCUCCUCUCUUUCUGUAAAACUAUUCCAAAUUGAGCGUAAUUUUUUUUUUUAAAUACACCGACCCUUCUACUAAACGAAAAGAAAAAGAAAGCGUUUUCUUUUUCUUCUCCUUAUUGAAAGUGUGCUUUUUGUGGAUUAUAUUGUUAAUUUAUUUUUCAUAUCGGUAAAUUAAUGCAAUUACGAGUAAUGAUGUGUUUUGGCACAUCCAGAACCAGUUAAAUAUUUUUGGAGUUAUUUUCUCUCUCCCAUUAGUCUUUCUAUUUCAUUCAAAACUAUUUCUUUGAAGAACUCGUUUGAUGCCAAUUAAUGAAUAAUUUUUAAAUGAAAGCCACAUUUGGUCAUAACACAACUCUAGUUUUUUGAUGUCUAGUUGAAGGAGACGAGUGGUAUAAUUAAAUAAAUCUCUUUUUAUUGUCUAAUAUAGUUCGUACUAAGGUUAAUUUUGAAAAAUUAUUAGUAGAGCAGUUUUAUAAGAGUUUCAAAAGAGUAUUAGCGCUGCGUUUACUUAUCAGCAAUCGGAAUGAGAAAUAAAAAUCAGAAUAAAGUACUUACUUGACCUAUAGGAAUUAGAAUUGGAAUGAGUUGCAAUCUCAUUGAUGUGUUUAUUUUAUCUUGCAAUAGAAAUCAGAAUGAGUUAGGUUGUAUUAAAUUAUUGUCAUAAUUAUUAUUUUAUAUUUUAAUUAUAGUGAUUAUUUAUUCAUUAACAAUAUUUAUUAAUAUAUCAUUGUUAAUAAUAUAUUAAUUAAUAGUAAUAAUUAUAUUAAUAAUUGUUAAAUUGUAUAUUAAUUAAUUAUGACAAUAAUAUAUUAAUUAUUGUGAUUGUUUAUUGAAAAACUAUAAUUAUUGUUACUAAUAUAUUAAUUAAUUAUAUAUAAGGAUAAUAUGGGUAUUUUUUUAAUUUUGGGGAGGGCAAAAUAAUCAAUCUUAAAAAUAAGAGACUCAUUCCCACUCCCUCUUGAGAAUAAGUUUCCCAUUCCUUAUUCAUUAUUCCCAAAUUGUGAUGGGCCCUACAAUUCCUAUUCCAAUUCUAUUUCUGAUUCUCGACUUUAUUUUGUGAAGUAAACGCCGUUAAUGAUUCUAAUUCUUUAAUUUAAAAAAUAAACGCAACAUAGAUGGUUCGCACUUUCGCUGUCCUGUGAACCCAAGUUGUGCUUCUGCCAACCCUCAAAAAGCCCAUUUCAAAGCCCUCUUCUAAUAAACCUCCAUGCAAUAAUAUUAAAAUAAAUUAUUUCUAUCCAUCCUCACUCUAAUUCCAUAAAUAACCUUAACGUGAAUAAAUUCAUGUUGUUUCUUUGUUAAAUUCUCACCAUCUCAUGCCGUGAGAAUUUCACGAGUUCUCUUUAUUUGUAUUCAAGAAAGUAUUUUUUGCCUCAAAUUUGUUGAUGAAUCAAUUGGGAGUGUUAAUCAAUUCUCGUGUCUAGUAUUUCUCUCUUUUUUAUUUUUUAAUUCAAUUUUUAAAAAAAUAUUUAGAUUAAUAUUUAGUGUCCAAUAUUUCUCUCUUACUCUUUACAAUCAUUUCAAAACAAGAAAAACUUCAAAUACAAGCGAAUCAAAUUGUUUCUAGAAUCAAAACAGAUUUAAAAACAAUAUAAAACCCUAAAAUUUAUAGAAAGUUUGAGAGAAAGAAAUCUCCAAGAGCAAAACAAAAUCUGUAUUUUAAUGCAAAAUUCAUUAAUCUUUUUUAAUGUAGGAAGAAAACUGAAUAAUCAAUAUAUAUAUAUAUAUAUAGAAUAAAAGUUACUUUCACUUCAUAGAAGAAAAUAAAUACAUCAGUUUUGAAGGAUGUGAACCUGGAUUGAUAAUUUAAAUAAAGAAUGGACAAUAAUAUUACAAGCUCUUCCGUAUUGUUAAUAAGAAAUGAUAAACACGACAAGUCGGGGGUGAAAGACGAGGAAAAAAAAUCAAAAAUCUGCAUGGGUUGUGUGAAAAUUAUGUAUAAAAAAUGUGUUAUGUCUUAUAGUGUAAUUGUCGAAGGUUAAAAUGGUAAAAAUAAGAAAGAGGGGUGUUUUGAGAGUUUCAAAAUUCAAGGAGGUGGAAAAAGUUCCACUCGUAAAACCUCCCUUUCAUCAAUAAAUCUCAUUAAAAAAUUAAAAAUUAUUUGACAUUUCUUGCGCACCUAUUUCAAAAUCAUCGACAUAUCCGACACUACUGUAAACACCUUUUAACUAGAUAAAAGAAAUACUUUUAGUUAAAAUUUUGUAUUUGUUCACCAAAAAAAAUAUUAUUAAAUAUUUUAGACUAAAAUAUCUGCAUGUUUAUCAUAACAUUUGAGCUUAAUAUUUUGAUUUUUGAGUUAAUAUUAUUGUUAUUUUAAUUAUGUUAAUUUUCAUUUAUUUAAAAAAAUAACUAUAACUAAUUAACUAUAACUAUAACUAAACACACGAACUCAAGCCCAGGCACCGCCAUCCUAGCCCAAUUCACUUCUGGCUUUCGCUUCGUUAAAUUUUACUUUUUAAUUUUAAUCUAAUUAAAGAAUUGGAAAAAAAAAAACUAAAUCCUAAAAGCCAAAAUUCAAAACUGUGAAACACCUACAACAACGACACCCAUUUAUUCUCACUACUAGAGUUGGCCCAAUGGAUCAUCGGUUGUGUUCAUGUUGUGUUAGCUUUAUGUCGUGUCAAAUUUAUAUCGAUCUAAACAUGAUCUAUUUAAUAAUUAUGUCAAAAUAUUAAGACUCUAACACAAUACGAAAAAUAAACGGAUUAUCUAAUAACUCGUUUAAUAUAUAUAUAUUGCACAUUUACGCUAUUAAAGUUUUAAAUCUAUAUAAAAUUUUAUAAAUGAAAUAUUAUGUAUAUGUUUAUCCUUCCAAAAAAUUAAAAAGACAAAAUUAUGUUUUAUAUUUGAGUUUUAAUAAUAAGAAUUUAAAAAUUAACUUAAAAUAGAAAAUAUAAUUGUGUCAUUGGUUAGGUAAAUGGGUUAAGAAUUUUAACCCUAACCUGAUACCCAAAAAAAAAAAAAUCGUGUUGACUUGGAUCCUAUCCAUUUAAUAAUCAUGUCAAAUUUGACGAUGCAAGCCCAUUUAUUUGUAUUGUGUUCAUGUCGGAUAAUCAGGUCGUGUCAAAUUUUGUCAUAUGUACUCACCACUAAUGCCAGCAAGCCACAAUAGAACCACCAUUCAGUAGUGGUAGCUGUGAAACGACUGGAAGUGGUGAGAUGAGAUAUAACAAUGAGAAAUGUACAUAAUGAAUUGGGUGUUCGAAUAUGUUAAGGUUUGGCAAAAAGUAUAAAUAAAUUUUGAUUAUGUCUUUAUUUAUUUAUUUAUACAAAACAAACGAGGGACUUUUUACUUCCAUAAAGUUUAUAAUUGUCAGUUUUGAUUCACAUUUCCAAUCCCCACUUGUUCCUUAUUUUAGUGCGGAGCACCCUCCUCCAGAAGUGGACAUUCAGAAUUUGAUUUGCGUUGGAUUAGGUUACUCUUAAAAUCCAAACACAUUGGAAAUUUAGAAUAUAAUCAAGUUGAAUUUUAUUAACUCAAAAUGAAAUGCAAACCAAUUGUGUUUGCUUAAAAAAAACAAAAAAAAAGUUAAAAAAUAAUUCUAAACUGAAAACCUCACGGCAUCACCAAAUUUUUUUUUCUAAUUUUACUCUUUAAAUAUAUGUUUGAUUAUUUAUGUGAUAAAUAGAAGAGUAAAAAAAAAUCCUCUUCAAAAAGACUCUUCAAAUAAAAAUAAAAUUAUAUUAAUUAAUUAAACGUUUUCCUCCAUUAAAAAUAAUAUAAAUUACAACACUUCUCUCCUUUCAAGAAUAAUGAGAUAAAAAAAUAAUUAAUAUUAAAUUAAAGACUUUAAAAUACUCUCUAAAUAAGAUUCUUAGCCAAAUAAGAUAAUACUACUUUCUCUAUUAUUGAAUAUAGAGUGACAAUCUUAUUUAAAAAUUUCAUUUAAAGAAUUUUUCAAAACUCUUUGUAUUAAUGUAGAUCUUCAAAUGAAAUGUAAAAUAUAAUUUGUAGAAUCUUUUAGUAAUACUCUUAGUCUUCGCUUCACUCUCCCAACUACUAUACAAAACACCAAGUAGUUGACACACACGCUUCCACUAAAGCCACUAGUCGUCGCGUCACAUCCGUUCAGGUGUGCCGGCACUGCCUCCCGUUGUAGCCACGACCAUUGAAUCAAAACUAGACGUCAUAUGUAGUUUCUCUGCCUUCUCUACAAGGUAUUUUGUCCAAAAACAUAAACACUUAGUGAUGGUCUUUUGUGAAAUUAAUUAAUUAAACAAACAAACAUGCAUGACCAAUCCGGAAGUUUAAAGUGCUGGAAUGUUUUAAAAAAAGUAUAAACCGUGCUGUUUAAAUACUUCAAGUUAUAUAUAUAUAUAUAUAUAUUUAUAUACACACACAACACAUCUAUAUAUUGUUUUUUUUUUUUAGAGGAAACACAUCUAUUUAUUGUUGGUUUUGGAUUCAACAACACAAAACGAGGCUGCUCAAAUUAAUUAAGAUUCAAAUAUGUGUAUAUGUUGUCGUAUGUAUUUUAACUUUACAACUUGGAACUUUUAUAACUUUUUUGUGUUGCAUUUUUGUUAUUUACAGAUUUAGGCUGAAUGAGGUUGUAACACCAAUUGCAAUCCAAUCUAAAUUUGCAACCCAAAUCGACUUUGCAAUCCAAUCUGAAAUGUUAACUUGAACUUACAACCAAAACUUGAACAUGAUCUCAUCAUAACCGAAUCUGAUUUCUGAAUUCUAUUUUGUGAAGUAAACGUAGAGAAAGUAAACGUAGAGAAUGAGUUAUAAGGUAAACACACUCUUAACACCAUCUUAUAUUUUAUUUAGUGUAGCAUAAAAUUGGAUUAUAUUACAAAUUUUAUUGUUAUAAUAAUUAAAAAAAUUAUUUAUUUUAUUGUCAUAAAAAUCUAAUAUUUUAAACAAUACUUAUUUUUAUUAAGCAUUUUUGUAAUGAAUUAUAAUAACAUAAUUUUUUAUUAGUUAUUGUUUUAAUAAAAUAAUUAAUAAAAUUUAUUUACUUAUAAAAACAUUUCUUAUUAUUAUACCAUUAAUAAAAAUAUUUUUUUAUGAUUAAUAUUUUAUUAUAUUAUAUUAUAUUAUAUUAUUAAGCUAACAAAAAAAAUUAAUUAUUUGAGAUAUCCUAAACUACUUAUCCUAUAGCUACCAUGUAAUAAAAUUUACACUUUUUUUUUUGGGUUAAAAUAAAUUUUUCACUCAGCUUCAAAUUAAAUGGUGGGUCCUAUGUGGGAGCCACACAUUUUCUAUAUCAAUUUUAAAAUGGAAAAAGCUAUUUACCCCGAAUGCUAACCCUGAAAUUGCGUCCCGAAUGAUAAAACGCACUGUUUCAUUUAUUUUUGAAAAGCACAUGUUUCAUUUGCUUUAACACUUUCCUUUUCCACUGUCCCUUUACACUUUUUUUCCACUUUCCCUUUCCUUAGCCCCAAAAAUGUAGAGGUUUAGCACUUUCACAAACCAGUUCCGAUUUUGCAGUUUUCAAAUGAGAUUUUGCACUUAGGGUUUUUCACUCUUUUCAGCGCUGCAAUGAAGUCUCUACUCCGCUUAAAUGAAAGGAAUAUGGAAGGAAAAAGCAAAUGAAAUAAGUGAUGCACAGCACAUGUUUCAUUUGCUUUAACACUUUCCUUUUCCACUGUCCCUUUACACUUUUUUUCCACUUUCCCUUUCCUUAGCCCCAAAAAUGUAGAGGUUUAGCACUUUCACAAACCAGUUCCGAUUUUGCAGUUUUCAAAUGAGAUUUUGCACUUAGGGUUUUUCACUCUUUUCAGCGCUGCAAUGAAGUCUCUACUCCGCUUAAAUGAAAGGAAUAUGGAAGGAAAAAGCAAAUGAAAUAAGUGAUGCACAGCUGGAAAGCAAUAAAUGAAAAAAGCAAACCAAACAUGUUGACUGACAAUCAAAUUAUACAAAACAAAUGAAAUACGUGCUUCUCAAAAGCAAAUCAAAAGCAAAUGAAACCAAACGGUGUGUUUUACCAUUCGGGGCGCAAAUUCGGGGCUAGCAUUCGGGGUAAAUAGCAGCACUCUUUUAAGAUAAUCCAAAUAUGAGAUUGGACUAAAAAUAAUCUAAUUGCAUAAAUUUAUCCCACCAGCAAGCGCAUCCUUCGGUUUAAACAGAAAUUAUUCUUGGAAAAGGAUUACAAAGUUAUUUUGUUUAUAUAAAAUAAUAAUUAAGGCAAUAAUUUAAUGUAAAAAUAGUUUAUUAAAUAAUUUUUUAAAUAUUUUUGGAUUAAAAAAGAAAAGUACACAUUUGUAGUACAUAAUAAUUAAAUAUAGACCACAGAAUGGCGCACUAAACAACUUGCCCAAGUCGGUUCUAAGGAAAGAGCCGGCAAUGAAAAUUAACCAAAACGAGGGCACAUUACAACUAGUCAAGCUGCCAAAAUUCAAAUUAAUUAGUAACAAAAUUUCAAAUAUUUGAGUAUUAAGUUGACUGGAGACAUACGACUUUUAUUUGGUUAUUGAAUUAUUGAAUAUGUCAAAUACUGUAAUAGUCCCCAGGUCUACGGUUCCCUGGACCAUUUUUUUUAUUUAAAAUUUUAUUUUUGUUUUCACAUCUUUUUUGGGACUUUUUGAGUGUUGUCAUCUGUAACGACGAUGUUAACUUAUUAUUAUUUUUCGUCCAUGUUUAAUGGAAACGGACCAAGUGGGGGUGCAGCGGAGUUUUCACUUUUCAUUUGCAAGAGGGGGAUUGAAUAGGUGGUUGAGAGUUUCAAAUGAUCCACCAUUGACAAAACUAUCAUUUCAAACAUAUUUUCGUAGUAAGUGUUUUAUUUUAAAAUUUAUUGUAACUAGAUACAAAACAGAAGUAGCUACCAAAUUCUUAAUUUAUUUAUUCAACGAAAUAUUUUAAUCUAGCAUUAUUUCAUCACAUCAUAUAUUCAGUAUGAAUAUAAUAGUAACACAUCCUCAUUUUCUUAAAACAAAGAUGUUUCUAUUAUAAAAAAUUAUAUGUCUAUAAAUUUAUUUUAGGAAAAAUAUCCACCGUCCACCCGUUUUUUACACCUUUUUCAAAAAUACACAAUUCCUUCAUUUUUUGGCUGGAAAUCCACCUAAAGUUACAUUUUGUUUCACUUUUCCACUUCCAUUUGGAAUCCGUUAAGAAAACUAACGGAAACUUAAAAAAAUGACCAUUUUACCCCCAAAACGAAAAUUAAUGAGAGGAUAAAAGAAAUUGUAAUUUUUAAUUUUUAAUCUAAUUAUUUUUAAGGUGAAAUUGUAAUUUUUAAUUUUUAAUCUAAUCAUAAAAGAAAUUAAAAUUUAAUUUAAUUAUUUUUGGUAAUUUUUAAGGUGAAAUUGUAAUUUUUGUUUUACCCCUAAAACGAAAAUUAAUGAGAGGAUAAAAGAAAUUGUAAUUUUUAAUUUUUAAUCUAAUUAUUUUUAAGGUGAAAUUGUAAUUUUUAAUUUUUAAUCUAAUCAUAAAAGAAAUUAAAAUUUAAUCUAAUUAUUUUUGGUAAUUUUUAAGGUGAAAUUGUAAUUUUCGUUUUACCCCCAAAACAAAAAUUAAUGAGAGGAUAAAAGAAAUUGUAAUUUUUAAUUUUUAAUCUAAUUAUUUUUAAGGUGAAAUUGUAAUUUUUAAUUUUUAAUCUAAUCAUAAAAGAAAUUAAAAUUUAAUCUAAUUAUUUUUGGUAAUUUUUAAGGUGAAAUUGUAAUUUUCGUUUUGAGGGUUAAAUGGUCAUUUUCUUAAGUUUCCGUUAGUUUUCUUAACGGAUUUCAAACGGAAGUGGAAAAGUGAAACAAAAUGUAACUUUAGGUGGAUUCCAGCCAAAAAAUAAAGGAAUUGUGUAUUUUUAAAAAAGGUGUAAAAAACGGAUGGACGGUGGAUAUUUUCCCUUUAUUUUAUUCCAUGUACGCACACUACGAAUAUUUGUUCAUAUUUUUUCACAAGCAAAUAAUUGAGCGGGUGGCCCCGGUGAGUCGGCGGAGGGGCCGGAGGCCGCAUUGAAUUGAUUUGUGCCAACGAUAAUUUGAUUCCCUCGCCCCACCAAAAAAAAACAAAAAAGGGGAAACCCAAUUAACCAUAAAGCAGGAGUGAUUGGUGCUUGGGAGGGUCUUGUGUAAUGUCACAAUGUCACAAUGUCACAUCCUGUUGGGUUACCUUUCUAUUUAUUAGUUGUAUUAUAUAUAAUCCCAGUGGACACUCCGGAUUUCAAUCUUUUUUCCGGCGAGGGAAUAAGGAGAAGUUCUAAAAUGUAAAUGUUGUAUUAUAAUUAAUUAAUGCAUGCAUGACAUGUGUAAUUGAGUUUAAUACAACCACCGCUUACACGAUAAUUUACAAAAUAAAUGUACACGUGUCAUGACAUUAUUUAAUAUUAUAUGACUAACACAGUACAACAUAUGUAUUCUAAAAUUUUUUGAGAAUAAGAUAAAAAGAGAACAAGCUUAAACCUACCCAAAAAUAACAAGCAUAUGAAAGCUCAGAAUUAGCUAGUGAAACCUAUAAUUAAUUAAGAUACCUAUGUCUUAUGACUUACAUCAAGAAAAAGAAAAUUAUGAAUAUCAAUUGAGGAGAAGUAAUUUACCGUUGUCAAAAAGUGACGCCGACGCUCAAAUUUGCGAGUUUGUCAGCAACCACCCCUCUUUGAAAAACACAAUAGAAGUGGUGGGACUUUGUAGAGGACAUUCUAGUCGGAAUCUUUUUAGAAACAGGACAAAUGGCGACCAAGAAAAAUGGCUUAUGUUGUCAUUUCACACAAGCCUAACUGAAGCGGGUAGAUGUGGUGGAGGUCGCAUUCUCUCCAUUCACAUACGUAAUAAUAUUUUUGGUCUCCAAAAUAAAUAAAUAAAAAAGAAAAAGAAAAAGAAAAUUCCAGAUGAACAAAAAGGUUGGAGUAAUUGGAGGCGGGCGAGUCGGCGAAUGGUCCGUUGCAUUUGUCGCAUCAGAUUCGCCGCGUCUCCAAUAAAAGGGUAGUUUUGGGUUGUAGUUUUCGGCCUCUGAAUCUGAAGCCGUCGGUUUUGAUUAUUGCAACAAAAUUUAAUUUACACUUGGCUCAGCCUCUUUUAUAUCUAGUCAAUAAACACCCCCGAUCCCGCACGGUAAACGCUAAACACUGCCUUCAAAGUUCAAAGCUAAAUUAAAGUAACGCCUAAAGAAAGGACGUAAGAUCUUACGUUCUUUCUUAAGCGUUAGGAGAAUGUACAAAUAUUCGUAGAUCCUAGAUCUUACAUCAUUUCUUAAGGUUUCUAAAAGAUUUGUAGUCUACAUGAAAUUAAAAAGAUUAUGAGCUAUGAAUAUUUUAGAAACCUUAAAAAUAUCUAUGCGUGUGUUAGAAAUCUUGAAAAGAUUUAUACCUAAGAAAUUUAGUUUACAUUUGACCUUUUUUUUAUUAAUUAAUCAUUAGGAGAAUAUACAAGUACUAUUUUACUCUUUUGGCCAUUAACAAUAACAAAAACAUAAUGAUUUUUAAGAGAUAACUUGAUGUUUACAAAAAUAAAGGGAGAAAUUUAAAGAUUGUCACUUCAUGACCGGCACCCAAAAAUUAACCCCUUUUUUUACGGUGGAAAGAGGUUUGAUAAUGGCAUUUUUGUUUUCAUAUGGAAUGGUGAUGCUUCACACAAAAUUGAUCUUAUGUGAUGUCUUGAAAGAUAAUGCCACCCUGGGCAAGAUGAUAAGAUUUUGAAUGGUUCUCUUUCACGAAAAUUUUCUCGCCACUCUUUUCUUGAAAAUAGAGUUACGUAUCAUAUAUUAAAGUUAUUGGCUACUAUAUUUUGAACUAUUGGUUCCUUUCACACAUUUUUUUUUUUUCCUUUGCAAACAAGUCAUGAUCUGAAGGGAAUAAUAUGGUCCCAACAUUUUUAGUAGUGUCCUGCAGAAGGUCUUUCCCAUCCCAGUGGAUUAGGAAAAGAUCCAAACUGCAUUGGGUUUCCAUCUAAUCACAUAUACCCCUCCGAGGUGACUAUGUCGGCAUGCCCCUCACUUUACACAGGCAGCAAUGGUGCUAUUUCAAAUUGAUACCUAUUGUUAUACAAAUUCAAUUUUGAAGCUAUUGUUUUAUUUAUUUAUUUUUUAAUAGCAGGUUGAAAUUAAAAAUUAUCUGUCAACGACGUCAAAACUUGGAAAUGCUAUGCUUUGACGAUUGACCGACUUAAUUAAAAUCCAAAUUACCUAUAGUUCAAGUAACAUAUAAAUAUUUGAUUAAUAUGUGCAACAUAAAAUCAAUUAUAUAUCAUGCAGAUUUUAUGCGAAUUUACUAUUUCGCCAUAUGGCGUAAUAAUUAAUUAGACAGAAAUACUAUAAGGCUAUGUGGUAUAACAGUAAAUUUACAUGAAAUCUAUAUUUUAGUAUCUGUACUUGCAAAUCUCUGUAUAUAUAACUACAAAGUAAUGCAAAAAAGGGUAUGAAAAGCUUGACUGUAGUUAGGCAAAUAUUUGAGAGAGUAAUUUGGUUGACUAAGAAAAACGCUGGACUAGGAAUAAUUAUUUAUUUAUUUAUUUUUAAAGAAAUGUAUGUUGUGUAAUUAUGCACAAUCAUUUAACAAAACUUUGAUUUAUAUAUGUAACAUGUAAAUAGUCGUAACGUGGGGACAGUUAUAUGACUUUUAACGAAUUAUGAUAAUUAGGGAGACAUUAAGUUGUGUUUUAGCUCCAUCCUCACACGAGCACUAAUAUAUAUUUCAAAAGUGUUCGCGAGUAAAUAAAUAAAUGUAAAUGAAACAGUGGAUGGCGAUUGUAUCUCAGUUUCUGUACAGCUAAUAUGCAGGCUGUUCUAGCCUUCUAGGGCAUGGCAAGUGGCAUGGAUGGACCAGGAUCCCAUAAUUUAAAGCACUCUCGUAAUUAUUUGUCAAUUCCAGUGGGUUGCCUUUUAGCCAAAAGUGGUUAGGAAUUAAUUAGAAAAUUAAAAGUUGAAUAAUGGGAGAACUUCAAAAGGCCAAGGUCCACAACAACGACCAGGAUUAGCUUGACCGUUGAUUGAUUCUUUGAGGCUUCGACGGUUCCUGAUCGCGGGUUGUGCUGCUAAAUCAUCGAACACGUUGCAUUAACUAAGUCAAAAAAUUCAGGCAGUGAUUUGUUCUUUUUUUCUUUUAAUUGUCAAAGUGUUUGAUUCUCUGGAAUAUGUAUGUCAUAGGAAAAAGAAACUUCUAAGGGCAGGUUCGUUGAGGCUUCCUUAGUCCUGCCUCCUUGCCACACUUCUCCUUGGCUAUAUAAAGCAGCCAAGUCCCUUCUCCAAGCAAUUCCAAGCUCAUACUUCAUUAGCUCUCUAUACUCUCUCCGACACAAAAAGAAAAAAAAAAUCAUUAUUAAAAUUUGUUUGUUUUAAUAUUUCAAUCAUGGUUCUUUCAAAGACAUUUUCCGAAUCCGAUGAGUCAAUUCACUCCACCUUUGCCUCUCGCUACGUCCGAAACUCUCUUCCUCGGUAAAUAUAAUUUGAUUGUCUCUUCAUUUUGUAAUAUAUAUGUGUAAAUUUUUUCUUCAAUUUUAUGUAUUUGUAUAAAAUGUUUUUAUUUUUUUGGUUUUUAAAUUAAACAUUGUUGUGUCGUCUGUUGAUGCAGGUUCACGAUGCCGGAGAACUCGAUACCGAAGGAGGCGGCGUACCAGAUCAUAAACGACGAGCUGAUGCUCGACGGGAAUCCAAGAUUGAACUUGGCUUCCUUCGUCACAACGUGGAUGGAGCCUGAAUGUGACAAGCUUAUGAUGGCUGCCAUUAACAAGAACUACGUUGACAUGGAUGAGUAUCCUGUCACCACCGAGCUUCAGGUGAUUUUUCUUUUUACACGUAUAUAUUCAUUAAAAAAAAACAAUUGCGAUGCCGUUUUGGACUCUAAAGUCUAAACUCAAGCCCUUCUGGGAUGGAGUUGGAUCGGAAAUCAGAUCCUAUUCCGAUCACUCUUUCUCUAUCUCUGGAAAUUAAAAAAAUAAAAGAAGUUACUGUACUUGGCGUAUUGCGUAGUGCGUACGCUUCUCCACUUGGCUCAUUAACUAAUGUUUUUGUCUCGCGGAGAAGGGCGCUGUCUAUAAUUUCCGAAAAUGAAAUAGGAGGCCCAUCAGAAAUUAAGGCAAUAAAAUAUUCAUUUAAAACAUUUAAAUAACGCUAAAGUUUGAAACAUGCUUAGAAGAGGAAAUGACGCCGAAGAUUAUGGUUAUGUAGAGAAUAUUUGGUGUGUGGAUGGAGAGAGAAUCUAGAGUAUUUUUAUUGCACUAAUUUAUGUAUAUUUAUAACAUACAUGUAUUAAGUGAGUAUAUUAUAACAAAGGUACUUUAUAUCUUUCGUCGGUAGCAACAGAAAAAAAAAACUAAAAAAUAUGAUAAAAAAAACUUAGUAAGAAGAGUUAAUUUCACUGUGAACGUACAUCAUUUUUUGGCACUUUUUUUUUAAUAUUCUAUUGCGAAUUUACUUGGGCUGUCACAUAUGUUGGUGGUCAAUUCAUAUUUACUUUUAGGUAAUCCAGAGAAACUUUUUGACAAAUAUAGAGUUUCUUUUGACUUUUUUUUUUUUUGUUAGUUAAUAUAUACUUCUGAAAAUUUUUAUUGUAAACAAUAAUAAAAAUUAAUUCAUAAAAAAAUAAAAUAAAAAGCGAGAGAAACUAAAAGUCAAUACGCGUUAAAAAUAAGACACAAGCAAUUAAACAGGAAAGUAAAGGAAAGAGAUUAUUAUUAUUAUUAUUAUAAAAAUUUCACGUAUAAAUUUCAACGAAUUUGAACUUCAAACUUCACUGUUCCAUAAAGUUGUCAGCAUUGUAAAAGUGUGUCCAUAACAUUAUUAACUCAUCCAAAUUUAAAAAAAAAAUUGAUAUUGAAAUUUUUAAUUUUUAAUUUUUCUAUACAGAAUCGAUGUGUGAACAUCAUUGCCCGACUGUUCAAUGCUCCACUGGAGGACUCCGAGACGGCUGUCGGAGUUGGAACCGUAGGAUCAUCGGAAGCCAUAAUGUUGGCCGGCCUUGCAUUCAAAAGAAAGUGGCAGAACAAGCGCAAGGCUGAAGGAAAGCCCUUUGACAAACCCAACAUUGUCACUGGAGCGAACGUUCAGGUAUCAUCGAUAUCAUACUGCUACUAACUGAUUCAUUCAUCAAUACUAAUUAACCACGAUGACCUAUUUGCUUAAACAUGACCAAACCUUAUUCCUAAAUAAAAUACACGAGCAUUUAGAAGAAACUUAAAUAAUAAAGCCCCUGCACAAUUUUACAGGUCUGCUGGGAGAAAUUUGCAAGGUAUUUUGAGGUAGAGUUGAAGGAAGUGAAGCUGUCGGAAGGCUACUAUGUGAUGGACCCAGUCAAAGCUGUAGAAAUGGUGGAUGAAAACACUAUCUGUGUUGCUGCUAUUCUGGGUUCUACUCUUAAUGGAGAAUUUGAAGAUGUCAAGCUCUUGAACGACCUUUUGGCAGAGAAGAACAAGGAAACAGGGUAUGUCAUGUGCCAUUAAUUGUUGAACUAGAGUUGAGAAUUUGAAUUAAUCUGUGCACACUAUUAUUAUUUAGUAUUUAUAUUUAUGCUUAUGUUAUUCCUUGUUACGUUCUUUCAGAUGGGAUACUCCAAUUCAUGUUGAUGCUGCAAGUGGUGGCUUCAUUGCACCAUUUUUGUACCCAGAGCUUGAAUGGGACUUCCGCUUGCCGCUGGUGAAGAGUAUUAAUGUUAGUGGCCACAAGUACGGGCUUGUGUAUGCUGGUAUUGGUUGGGUUAUUUGGAGAAACAAAGAAGACUUGCCUGAAGAACUCAUCUUCCACAUCAAUUACCUAGGAGCUGAUCAACCCACCUUCACCCUCAAUUUCUCUAAAGGUAUGAAUCCAAAACAGUUCCUCUCCAUUACUUGCAGCUUGUCUUUGGCAGCAUAAUUUGAUUACUUUGCGUUACUGUCAAGUUUAAUUUAAUUGUAAUAUUUCACUUGGUGACCUGCAGGUUCUAGCCAAGUAAUUGCUCAGUACUACCAACUAAUCCGCUUAGGUUUUGAGGGAUACCGCAAUGUGAUGGAGAAUUGUCACGAAAAUGCAAUGGUGCUGAAAGAAGGACUAGAGAAAACUGGCCGCUUCAACAUUGUGUCAAAGGACGAAGGGGUUCCGUUGGUGGCAUUUUCUCUCAAGGACAACAAACGCCACGAUGAAUUCGAAGUGGCCGAAUUGCUGCGCCGUUUUGGUUGGAUUGUGCCAGCGUACACCAUGCCCGCUGACGCUCAGCACAUCACCGUGCUACGUGUCGUCAUCAGGGAAGACUUCUCUCGCACACUUGCCGAGCGCCUUGUACUCGACAUCACAAAAGUGCUUCAUGAGCUUGAUUCGCUUCCUUCAAAAGUGCUUGUACCUGCUUCUGAACAGAAUGGAAGGAAUGGAAAGAAGACUGAAAUUGAGACUCAGAGGGAAGUCACUACUUACUGGAGGAAAUUCGUCUCCGAUAGGAAAGCUAAUAACAAGAAUAAAAUUUGUUAAGACACCCCCCCCCCCCCCCCCCCUUUUCAUUUUUUUGAAUUUUAGUAUUUUACAUUUUAUUAUUGGCAUAUGAAACUGCUGGCGUGUAGCAUGUUGACGAUUUUGAUUAUUUGUAUUUUUUCUGAGACCUAUUGUUAACUGUUAAGACCAUUUACUAAAUCAAAGUUCAUCUAUAUAUUCUUAUUUCAUCUGUAGUAGUUAGAAUAGCUCUGGCAUGUCGCAUGCAGCAAUUUAUUCGUCUGUGACAAGGGUGAACCUCGGUGGCCUCGGCGUCCAAGCUACAGCUUAAAGCAAUCAAAACUGUGAUCCAGUAGUCACCAACAUAUAUUAUUCGGCAUAAAUCAGUGUGUAUUCUCUACUCUUAGGCUUUGUUACUAGAGUGGUGCUAACGCAGUUAUGCUAUUGGCACACCUCUAAUACCCCCCUGUUAUUUCUUGUUUACAAGUUUACCCCUCAACUAAAAUUACCCCUCUGCACCUGUAUGCAGUACAAAACCGUACAAAACCGCAAAUGAAGCUUGACGGUAUAAAUUUCUAUUAUAUAAAUGCCCGGAUAUUAGUUAUCCUCCACAGGUCCAAUAUACGCGGUUGGAUCAAAUUGAAUCAAUCCAAUGCUCUUAAAACUUUUGCGCAUUAAACUGGUAAAAUGCAACAAGUAUAAUAUUAUUUUACUACAAUUAAAGAGUCCUAAUUAUAGCUAGUUAUCUGCCUUUUAAAUUAUCUUUAUAUGAAAUCCCGUGAACUAUAAACCUAUACUUAUUUAAAUAAUUCAUUCCUAUGUGAAUUCUUGUCAAGUCAGAACUCUAAUUAUCAUCAAUUUUUAAGUUUCAAUAUAUUAAUUUUUUUUAAUAUUUUAGUGAUAUCCUCACUUUAUCAAAUGAGGAUGUCUACAAUAGAAAAACUAUAUAUAUAUAUAUAUAUAUAUAUAUAUAUAUCUUCUUCUCAAGGCUUUGAUGCAUACUCAAAAGUUGUCCCUUUGCUGGUGACAACACUAAUUUACAAUUAUUAAAAUAAAUUUAUUAAUUUACAUUGAUCUAGAAUUAUUCUUGAUUAUCUCUCAAGAAAUAUCAAUGGUGCUCUUCUGUUUUGAUGCAUGGAAGAUUCCAACCAAAAAAUGUUAAUCUUUUUUUUUUCUCUCUCUCUUUCUCUUCCUUUUUCAUAUUGACUAUUUUUAUUUUUUGGAAAACUAGUGUUUUUGAGUUUUAAAAAGAGAAAGUUUGAAGAAAAUAGGGAUAUUAAUUGCUGCAAAGAAUUUAAGGAGUUAGAAAAUUUUUAGAAAUUGAAAUAUUUGUAAAUGAAAGGAAUGUUUAUUUAAUUUUUUUUUAAAAAGUAUUUUGGUAUUAAGGUAGCGUUUACUUUUUGGAUUGGAUUGGGAAUCAUGAGGAGUGGGAAUUCUAGGAUUGGGAGUGUGGAGUGGGAGUGGGAGUAGGUUGUUUACUUAUACUGGAAUGGUAGUAUGGAAUAGAGAUCAGAAUCCAAUUUAUGUGUUUACUUUGUCUUGGAUUGGGAGUAAAUAGUUUUAAAUUAUAAUUUUAUCCUUAUUUAAAGAAUUAUAGUUUUUAAUUACAAAACUAAUAAAAAAUAUAUUUAAUGAAUAAUAUUUAUUUUAUUAUAUUUGUAAAUUUAUUAUAAUUAUUAAUAUUCUUAAUUAUGAACAAUAAAUUAUUAAUUUUAAUAUAAAAUGAAACCUUAUUUUAUUUAAUAUAAUUAUAUUAAAUUUAUUAUUAUAUAAAAUAAUAAUAUAAUAUUAUUUAGUACAAAAUUAAUAUUUUCUUAGAAUAAACUAUUUAUUAUUAUUAAUAUUAAAUAAAUAUAGUACUAUUAUUUUUAAAAUAAAUAUAAUAAUAUUAUAUUUAUUAAUUCUCUAUUAAUAUAAUAAUAUUAUUUUAAAAUAAUUUUAACUUAUAAUCAAUGUAAAUUAUUAUUUAGUUAAAUAUAAUAUUAUUAUUCAAAUAAAUAUAAUAAUAUUAUUCAAAUAAACAUAAUAUUAUUUAUUUUAUUUUAUUAAUUAUAAAAUAUUAAAUUAAAAAAAAUAAAAUGGUAAAAAAGGGAGAGGUGGGAGUGGAUUCCCACUCCCACUUACCACUCCAAAAAUGGAUAGGACCCACGGAGUGGGAUUCCCACUUCCUUCCUAUUUUAAGGAAGUAAACGCUGGAGUGGGAGGAAUCCACACUCUUCACUCCCACUCCAGCAAAUAAACACAGCAUAGGUGGAGUAUAAUUGCAAAGGGGGGUUUUAAGAGGAUUUGGGUGGGGUCCAGAUGGUCCAUUUACUUUACUAUUCUUGCUCUUUAGGCCUCUUAAUGUUGCAAUCCAUUUACUUCUGGGGCCUUAACGGCUUGGCAGGCCAACCCUCAAAUUUAAAUCCAGCGAAGGGCUUGGCAGCCGAGUUCUUACACCCAAUCAGAUUCAGGCGUUUUAAGAUUAGAACAUUCCGCUCGACACAAAAUAAUAAAAAUAUUAUUUUUUUUUUAUGCAAAUAUAAAUCAAACUCCACUGUAAUCCCAACCCUCUUGCAUCAUUUCAAAAUCCGUUGAUUGAACUAAUUAAUUAGAACACGCACACAACCAAAUCAUAAAAUACGUAUCCAAAGCUUUUCAAUAAAAUUGGUAGGGCUACUGAUUGUUUGGAUUAGAAUUGCACGGUUCAAAAUUAGUACAUUUUUAUUUGCUCGUCAGUGUCAACUGUCAAGAAAUAUCAUUAGGUCCAAUUCAAGUCCAAGUCAAUUCUACAACCAAUUGAACUAAGUUUGGUAAUAUUGCAACUUAAGUUUUGGAAUAAACUAAUUCAAUGAAUAUAUUAAUAAAGAUAUACAUUAUCAUUUCAAUAAUUUCUUGAGUAUUCCUCAAUUCAAGCAAGUAUAUUAUAUAUAUCUUACAUAAGCCACACGCACUUAUGCGACAGCCAGGGGCCGAAACCGUAGUGGAAGGACCAUGCGAUUAUCAUUCAAAGACCUCUCUAGACUAGAAAACAUUUGCAUGGCUCAAACUUUGCUCGUUCACACUAAUUUUUCUUUCCACCCACCAAAAGCAGCCGCUUCAAUCCAUGGGAAAUCAACAAAGCUUCAAUGAACAAAGAAGAAAACUCCUUCGCUCAUGGACCAAAACCAAACGUGUCGGCUUAUAAAAGCAUCGACUCGCAAUAACUGAUGCUCAGAGCAAAUGAUUAUAAUGAUUUUCAUCGAAUACCCAACACCACAGAGCCAUAAAAUUCUUCCACGUUUCCACAACUACCGCACUAGCAAGAUACCCACUAAUAUUUUUAUGUCCAUCUCUUUGAUGGUUGUGUAUAUAUAUAUAUGCUUCCAACGUUUGCCCAAUUAAAUUCAGUGUUCGAUCAAACAGAACUAACAUAAGUCCACUUAUUGAAGUGUAACGAGAAUGGUGAAUUCUAGCAUGAAGACUUGCUUUGUCGCUUUGUUUGUGUUCUUGCUGGUUUCUGAAACUCUGAUUGAGGAAACUGAUGCGGCAGGAGUGUGUGGGAGGACUCCGAUACGGUCGGCGGCGGCGAGCUUGACCCCCUGCUUGGGUGCGGCCCGAAAUGCCAGGGCUAAGCCGCCGCCAAUAUGCUGCUCAAAACUCGGUGCUUUAAUAAGAACCGCCCCAAGGUGUCUUUGUGCCGUCUUAUUGUCACCCUUGGCAAAGCAAGCUGGAAUCAGGCCUGCCAUUGCUAUUUCAAUUCCUAAACGAUGCAACCUCAGGAGACCCGUCGGAAAGAAAUGUGGAAGUAAGUGUCCAUUAAGAUUUUUUUUUUUUGAAUUUGCAAAUAGUCAUGUUAUAUUGUUACGUCCGUGCAUUUUCAUGACACAUUUAAUAAGCGACUAAAUAUUGUUUCAUUCUCUGCAGGGUACACAAUCCCAUGAGAAUAUCAGAGGCCCAUUAAAUGCUAUGAAUGGGAGAGUGCGUAGUUAACAAAUAAAUAAAUAGUCCUUGGGCGGGUUUAUCCGGCGGCCCAUUUGGGCUCUAGUGGUAGUUAUUUACGCUUUAUAAAAGACUUACUGGCUUCUUGCGGAGGCUGUUGCUGCUUAAAUUAAGGAUUUGUUCCUUCUGCGCUUGCUUUAUUACUAUCUGCUGAUAAUAAUAAUAAAAAAUAAAUUCUCUUUUUCUUUUUUUUUAUGUCUUAUUUCUCUUACUGUGUUUCCGAUCAGAAUAUGCUUACGAACAACCUAAUUUGCAUCUGAUUUUAAGAGAUUGUGAUCAAGUGUUUGAAGCUAUUAUAAAUACUGGAAGGUGGGGUAUGACCGUUUGAGAUCUAGAGAAUGCAAUCGCUUUCUAAUUGCUUUCAAAUCAAGAUUAUAGAAAUUCCACAUUAAAAAAAAAAAAAAAAAAAAAAAACUGAUAGUACAGGGACAUAAUUACCGAGUUAAAUUGUAACAACAUCAUGGAGCCAAUAAAUAAUACAAAGUCCGUACCUUAUUAAUAUUGCAUAUGGCGUGACAUUAUCAUAAAUUAUCGGUGAUCUUAUCUUUUCUCUACAACACGGUAAAUUUUUUUCACUAUCGAAAACACUAAAAUUACUACUACAACUUAAUCAUAUACAUCAUACAUGAUGCAUCUUAACGAAUAAAUUACAAAAGCAUCUACACAUUUUAUUCAAGUAUUUUUUAAAUUUCUAAUAAAAGCCAAUAUAUCUAUUAAAAAAAAAAGAAUCUUACUUCAUUUAUUAUUUUUUUUUUUAGAAGAAACAUAUUAGUUAUCAGCUUGACCAUGUCAACCUCAACAUCUUUAUGACAAAUUAUCUGACCAAGAUUAUUACCCAGCUUAACAAUAAUGUGACAAUUAUUUUUCUAAUUAAAAAACCAAGUUAUUUUUCUUACAUUUGUUGCAAAUCUAAGGCGAUUUGAAUGUUAACCAAUAAACAGCAGGCGUUUGUUGAAAUUACAGUACAAAUAAUUUUAUUUUGUUUGAACUGCUUUUCUCUGUCACACGCAUAUCAUGUGCACAAACACUGGGGAGGAUUUCAAAUUUGAAACUAUAGAUAUUGUCGUCAAAUAACUACUCGCACCCACAGUCGAGAUGAUUGGAAGAGAAAAAACAGUUUUAAUAGACAAUUCAUAACUUCAUUCAAUCAAAGUCAAAUAAUAAAUAACUUGUUUAAUUCGUUCAUGUGGAACCAUGAGGUGCAUGACCAGGAAAACAAAAUGCCCUUUUGCCAAGGGUGUGUAAUCCAGCUGUCAAAUGGGCCUAGCUCUCAAUUACACCUUGAUUGGAAAAGUAUUUGAAAAAAUAUCCAGCUCAGCCCGGCCCAUUAUAGCCUCAUCACCCGACUGUGUGGUUUUCAAUUGUCAAUCAAAAUUUGGCACAAAACACCACAAACAACGAGACACGUCACACAAACCUUUUCCCUUUACCGUCCGAUCGAACAUCAAUAAAAAAAAAUGCCACACAAAAAUCAAUGUGCUUGGCACAACAUUGUGACAAAGUUUGGACCAUUCAAAGGGCAUGGCCCCACGGUGGUUCCCCAUUAGAAUUCUUCUUCUUCCCCACCUUUCUUACACUGGGCCCCACCAGAAAUGGCAUGCCAACGGUGGACCCACCAGUAAAAUCACACCCAACAUUUGCCUAAUUUAUAUAAACGUCCAAAAAAUAAAAAAAAAAACAGUAAGAAAACAAAAAGAUUUUGAAGGCGGAAGAUUAUUGAUUGUAACGGUAGCGCAAUUAUUAAGUGUAUCCUUGAAUUUUCAUGAUUUUCAUUUUUCAAUUUUAGGAUUAACAAUUACAGUAGAAGUUAGGCACAUAUAUACUUAAUAAUAGAUAGCCUAACCCAUAUGAUCUAUAUAGGAGUACGAAUGAAAAAAAUUACGAAAAAAAAAUCAUAAUUUUAGAAAAAUAUCACUUUAAUUAAAUUAUUGUAACAUACCCACAAAAAAAAAAAGUCUGUGAUUUAAAAAUUUCAUAAAAUAUGGUCAUUUUUAAUUCUCAUGAGUGUAUCACUCUCAAGAGUAGAGGUAGGUCUUUCUCGUAUUAGUAUUUUAGCAAAUAGUAGUAGGGUCGAUCAAAUUAAUUAAACCCCACAAAAAUCGAAAGGAAAGCAAUAAAAAUAAAUUAAACACCGCUAGAAAAGAAAAGAUGCAAGAGGUGGAAGAUGAUAUGAGUGAAAAGGCCCCACAAUGUGUAAGAAAAAAGUUGUAAAAAGAGAAACGGUUGGUAACAAAAUCAGAAGGAAGAGAAGAGAAGAGAAAAAAAGGGAAAAGCUGAAAUUUGAAUUGUGUCUCAGCAUGUUGUUUCUUUACUUUUUCAUGCAAACAAAACCAAACAUGAUAUCAUAACCAUUGCCAUUAUUCAGCCCCCACAUUUAUAUAACCAUGAAAAUAAAAGAGAGAAUGAAGUGACCCCAUUUUUCUUUUUUUCUCUCCAUAUCCCAAGAAACAAAAAAAAAUUUCCUCUCUCAUACCAGUUGACUGACUCCUUUUCUAAAUUUUAUCUAAACUCCAUUCUUUUUCCCCCAUUACAGUUACAUAAAUACCCAUCAUUCUUGCUCAUUAAUUAAGAGGCCCCCUCUUACCUCAAGUACCAUCAUGGGUGAGCUUCACUCCAUGGCUUACUCAAGCAGCCUCCAUGGCUCUUCUCUUCUCGGUUGGGAUCUUCAAAACCUUGGAGUUUUCAACGCAGACAUGUCUUUAGGUAUUCAUACUAUUCUGUUUCCUUCAUUUUUUUUUUUAGUUUGUUUCUUUCUCUUUUUGUCUAUGCCUUCACUUUCUUUUGCUGUCUCUAAUAUUAAUUUUUAUUAUUAUUGCUUCUUCAAUAAUAUAUAGCUGGCCACUUGAAUUGUUAUUUUUGUGUAGUUAUGGAUGAAAGUGCGCCAUUUGUCUCUCCUCUGUUGGAUCGGCCUGAUGAUUUGUCAACUGGGUAUUUGGAAGAUGCAUUGGUUGAGUACAGUGAGCGGUCCAAAAGAAGAAGGUUGCUGUUGUUUAGUGACGAUGAUGACGAUGACCAUCAAACAAAUAUCAUCUCUAAGGAUUUUGCCAUGGUAAAAUUUAUUAAAUUUAUCCAUGAAUUUGAAUUGGAAAUAUAUUCUUUAUUUUAGAUAUGCAAGCUCAUGAUUUUGAGGGUGUAACAGUCCUACUGGAAUAAUUCGAACAGCAGCAGCUGGGGCCUGUCUGAGAAUUUUAGUUGCAUGAGCCAGAUACCAAGCUUUAAUGGAGUUUCAGGUAAUUAAUCAAUUACUAGCAAUAUAUGUAAGUAGUAAUAAAAAAGAUGAGUGCUUUAAUUUACAAAAAAAUUAAUUAUAAUCUGAAUUUAUCUUUAGGAAUAAUCAUUACAUCAUAUAUUUAUUGUUAGAUGAACUGCGCAUGAGCACAUCAGUGAGCAGAGUCAGUAACGAGGAAGCAAACUUCGUACCAGCCGAGAUCAAGACACCGGAAGAGAUAAAUUCAUCCGCCAUUGAGGCUCUUGAUUCGUCAUCGUCAGCUAAUAAAACCAGGUCCAUUUUCGACAAAGACGCUCUACCCUUUUCAGCUGGUAACACCUCUUAACUCCUAUUCUCAUGUUGCAAUUAAAUUAAACAUUAAUAACAGUUUAAUUAAUUUGACUAAAACCAUUGUCUCGGUCGGCGCAUUUUAAAAUUUAAAGGCGUUGACGACGAUGAAAAGAGAAAGAAGAGGGUGGUUACGAGAGUGGUGUAUCCGUUUGCACUGGUGAAGCCAGGGGGCAAAGAAGGAGACGUGACGUUACACGACAUUAACGAGAGAAUUCUGAUGCCGCCGACAAGGCCAGUGAGGCAUCCGGUGGGGGAUUUUGCUUGCAGGCCAUGUGUUUCUGCGGAUGGUCCGGGCCUUUCUGGGAAAGCUGUGGUUGCCCUAACAAGGAUUCACACUCAAGGGAGUGGCACAAUCACUAUCAUUAGAACCAAAGGUUAGUUGAUUAAUUAGGAUUGUUAUUAUUACUGGUUACUUAAAUUAAUUAUCCCAGCUCUUUUAGUUUCAAGUUCAAGCUGUGUUUGAAUUAAAUGUAUAGAAAGGGAGAGUGGUGUAUGUAACUAAGCAAAUAUAUGUGCAUGGUUUACUUCUAUAUCUCAUUUAGUUAAUUUACCUUCAUUGAAGCUUUUUGUGUGCGGGUUAUUUAUAGAUUUAAUUCGUAAUAAUUAUGGGAAGAGUGGUUUGAUCUGAACUCAUCAAAAAUAGGAAGUGUGUAGAAGAAAAAAGAGAAAAGUAAGAAAGAAAAAUUAGAAAGGAAAAGAGAAGCAAAGCCAAAGCCAAAGCAAAAAAAAAAAAGGCCAUAUCCAGAAUAAAGGGUAUAAGAAUUUAGUUUUUUUUUUGUUUGAACCACGAGGUGGUCUUGAGUGGGCUCUAACUGUGGGAGACACCUUUAAGCUUGUACCACAACUCAGACUAAUCUCAGCUUGCACUGAGUCGACCCGUAAAAGAUAAAGUACUGACUAAAGUGGUGACUCCAUACGAGAGCGGGACUUAUCCCUGACCUCUCUACAAGAAUUUAGUUUUUGAUGAAGGAGACAGCAGACCAUGCUGAUGUUGGGAUAUCUCAGGUUAAAAAUAUUUUGGAAGCUCAUGAGAAUUGGGAAGAAAGAACAGAAGAUCACACAGGGCUGGCAAUUUUGUCAGCUUCAUGUGGGGUACACACACUUCAGGUGAAUUCAAAAAUCAUGCACCCAAAAAAUUACUUCCAAAAAAAAGAAAACAGACCAAGAUAAACUCUAAUUCUAUCUUCAAGUGUGAUUAUUUGAAAAAUAAUUAUAAUAAUAAGAUGAAAUUAUAUGUAUUAAUCAAACUCAACCACAGUACAAUCUUACUGCGAAUCCCCACUUAAGCUGCCUUCACGCGAAUGAAAAGAAAUCCUUUCAGCAUAAAAUCUAUUCUUCUCGGCCGAAAUUUUAUGUUUAAAGAAUUUAUAAUAAGGAUACUUAAAAAAGAAAAUUUCAGAUAUCGGCACCAAAUCAAUGAAGCUGCCUCGAGCUUCUACUUGCGAAAUAAUUAGUAAGCUUCCAUUAAUAUUACUGGUUACAUACAGAACAAAUUAAGAUUAUUAAUAGCUAGCUAUGAGACGUAGGGAGAAUAUUUAGGCUUUCAUCAUAUAUGAAAUUCAUGGAGGAGCAUCAAAAUCAAUCAUUACUGCUCUAAUUUCUUUGUGGUGGGUAGCUAAAUUCUUCAUUAACAUUGAAUGUGACUUCAUCCCUUUUUAGUCAACACCCACCCAUUUGAAAUUUUCAUCUCAAGGCAAUAUCUAAUAGGUCCGACCCCUAUCUAAGCUCACCUGCUCUGCUUUUCUCCACCUACACUGUGCACACUUAAUCACCACCGUGCAUUAGUUUGACUUGUUGCAAAUGGAAAUUAAGUACAAGACUUGAUUUACACAUGUUGUGUUGACUAAUGUAGACGAACCCUUUAUUUUUUUUAACACUAAUAUUUUAAUUUGUAUUCAAGGUACUAUUUUUUAACACUAAUAUUUUAAUUUACCAAACGCUAUGUAAUCAAGGUGUCUAUUAGGGCCACUUAAUUAGAUGACUAAUGUCAUUUUUAUUAUGGCACUAUUAUAGUGUAAUUAUAUAGCGUUUGGUAAAUAGAUAUGUCUAAUAAACAUUAAUUGUUUUUUUUUUUUAAUUAUAAUUAUUACUAACAGCUGUAUCCUGUGUGCAAGGCUUGGCUUGAAAAUUUGGUGGAGAGUGAGUAGUGAUAUCUCUUUGCAACAAUUAUUAUUGAUAUUUAGGCGAAGAAAUCUACUAACCUUUUUAACCAUUAUAUAUUUAUGGAGAUGCAACGCAUGUUUGUCUAUAAAGUCUGAUCUACUAGACCCCAAUUGGAUAAUUUAUGUUAUUUUGCUUGCUUUCAAGUUUAAAUUCUCGUUAAUUAUUCAUCUAUUCUCAAGGCAAAAGAGUGAAUAAAAAAGUUAUUUGCGUAGCUUGGUUGCAUCCAUGUGCCUCUUGUAGUAAAGUGAAAAUGGCUUAAAUUUAAGAGGAUACCCAUUUAAUAAAUAUACAAAUUUAUGUGACUUUACACCGUGGUCAUUUUGAUCAAAUAAGUCAUAUAAAUGGAUUAGGAUUCUCAUGGAUUAGAAUUUUUUGAUCUGAGAAAAUACACUCACAUAAUUGGUAAUUAAUAAAUGAAGAUAUAAUCAAUUAAUAAAUCUUGAUCCUAUAUAAAUAAAAGCAUAUAUAUAUGUCAAAACUGUAAAGAUCUCUUUAGUUGUAUUAUUAAAUCAAAAGAUUGAAUUGUUUUUAGUUCAAUCUCAUGUUUGGAGUAAGGUAGUAUAAAACAAAAAGUUAGAGUUAUCUAGAACCCACUUUUUUUUUUUUUUGAGUCCCCAAAAAAAGGUUUAAACUUAUCUCAUACCCUCCUGAUAGGAUGAGCUGGGAUAAGUACCGGUAAAUAAAUUUUAAAAAAAUUCAAUUGCUAAAAUUAAAUUUAAAUUAUAUUAUCCACAGAAAUACUUACUUAGCAAUAAAAUUUCACACUAUUCAAAUAGUUAGAGAAAAAUGAAAACGUAAUAAAAAAAUCUUAAUUUUUCUUAGUUAAUAAUAAAAUAAAUACUAAAUAGUGGAAAUUUUUUAUAUGUUUAAAUUAAAAUUGUUUCCUAAAAAAUAAUUAAUUUUUAAUUUGGGCUGUUUUCGUUAAAUUAAUGGCACUUAUGUAAAUAGCAAAUUAUUUUAUAAUUAAAUUAAACUUUUAAUCAAGUAUAAUCCUAUGCUACAUUAAUUUUUAAUGCAAGAUAAAUAAGGUAAUACAAUUAAUGAUAAUCCAAUCUGGGCAAUCUCAGUUUAAUUUCAAUUAUGUUAUAACCUACUUAAAACGUUUUUUUUUUAAGUAGUUUAUUAAUCCAUCAUUAUUACUGUAACUUGUCCUUUUUCUUCUUCUUUAUUGGCGAAAAGGGAAAACAAAAUGAGAAAAGAAAAUCAUAGGUAUUCGCGAGAAUAUCUUUUGCUUUUUCCAAAUCCCAAACCAAAUUGCGGAGAAGAGAUUCACCCGAUGUCGUUUUAUUACUUUCUAAGAGAUACGAUUAAUUUAUAAACAUUAUAAUUUUUUCCCAGCCGCUUCUGCUUGUGUACGGUACUAGUGCUAGUGACGUCAAAAAGGUCUUUUUGUGAUGUCAGAUAUACGUAAAAAAUUUCCAGGAAUAUGGAGCACCCAUUUUGGGCCGACUUCAGAUCAAAUUGGUUAUCGUUUUACUAUGAAUGUGACGCUCUGGGCCAACUUUCUAAUGAUCUAUGGAUUCGUUGUGGCCUUAGUGCGCUGUCUUAUUUACGCUGUUCUGUUGAAGUCCAAAAGUUUCAUUCUAAUAAUUCGGCGCAAAUCUAAUCAAAGAUGCACUAUAAAAUGUUCCCUCGUCACACGUGCGGUCAUGUGGUCAAAUUAUUUUACUCAACACCCACAACACCUGGCAAGAAAAUUAUAAAAAUUGUAUGUUACGAGUCCAAUAACUCAGUGAGCUUGAAGCAGGAAAAACUCUAUUUGUUUUAGAGUACGAGUCGAUUGGGUAGCUUACUGUUACAAAAGCGAUGUUCGGAACGAGAAAUCCAGGGAAAUCGAAAAAUAGAUGAUAAAUGAGGUUAAUUUAAGAAAACGAUAAACAUCAAAAUAAAAUGGACUCAACUACCUUGUAACAGUUGCAAGGUAUCACCUGAUUUUAUUUUUUUUAUGGUUUCAAUUCUUGAUCAUUGGAUUUAAUGAAAAGAUAGAUUCAAGGGUAGAGAUUUGUUUAUUUGAAUAUUAACAUUAUGCUCCCUGCUAUUUAUCAAACACGCAAAAGAACUAAAGAAUUAAAACUUUUAGCACAUAAGUCCAAAUUGUUUAAAAUUUUAUGUUGUUUAAUUAGCAGCGAGUCUUAAAAAAUAAAUUUUAUUUUAAUAUUAUAUAUUUUAUUUAAAAAAUUAAUUUUUAAUAUCAUUUAUUUAUUAAAAUAUUAUUUAAUAUUAUUUAUUCUCAUUUCAUUUAAUAUUAUUUAGUUACAGGCUUAUUGUUGUAUUUAAUAUUUCAAAAAAUUAAAUUUUUAAAUAAAAUAAAAUAACUAGUUGUGAGCAUUAAAAAAUAAAUAUAAUUUUUAAUAUUAAUUAAUUUUGUUUUAUUUAAUAUUAUUUAUUUUUGUUUUAUUUAAUGUUAUUUAGUUAUAGACUUAUUAUUAUAUUUAUUCUUUAAAAAACUAAAUAAUAUUAAAUAAAAUAAAUAAUCAGUUGUGAGUUUAAAAAAAUAUAAUUUUUAAUUAAUAAUAUUUAUUUAUUCAAAAGGAUAAAUUUUUAAUAUUAUUUAUUUUAUUAAAAAUAAAUAUUUUUAAUAUUAUUUAUUGGAUUUUAUUUAACGUUAUAUAGUCAUAGGCUUAUUAUUAUAUUUAUUCCUUCAUGAAACUAAAUAAUGUUAAAUAAAAUGAAAUAAUCAGUAAUGAGUCUCAAAAAAUUAAUAUUAUUUUUAAUAAUUUUUAUUUUAUUUUAUUUAAUAUCAUUUAGUCAUAGAUUAUUAUAUUUAUUUUCAAAAUUAAAUAAUAUUAAAUAAAAUAGAAUAAGCAAGUGUGAGUCCUAAAAAAUAAAUAUUAUUUUUUUAAUAUUAUUUAUUUUAUUUAAAAUAAAAUAUUUUUAAUAUUUUUAUUUUAUUAAAACUAUUAGUUAAUAUUAUCUAGUUAUAGGCUUAUUGUUAUAUUUUUUCUUUUAGAAGUUAAAUAAUGUUAAAUGAAAUAAAAUUACAUUUUAAUAGAUCACCAACCAAACCACAUAAACUUAUAAAUAAAUUAUAAAUAAAACAUAAAUAAUAUUAAAUAAAAUAAAAUUACAUUUUAAAAAGUCACAUGCCAAAACACAUAACGUUAUAAAUAAACUGUAAAUAAAAAGGAAGAUAAGGGGUAAAUGAAAUUUGACAACACAAAAGACAAAAAUGGGUGGUACAUUGCAACUAUUGCAACAUAGGCGGACCCAAAUAAAAUUUAUAAGUUGGUAAAAUAAUAGUACUCAUGAGUUAUUACACUUUUUACUGAUUAACUUCAAGUUUUAAAUCAUAAAGCUUGCUUGAGAUUACAAUUUUAAAAAUUAGUAAAAACUAAGUAUGUUCUCACAUCAUGGACUUACACAAUGACUCUACAAAAUAAGGUGCCAUUACAUUUGACUAAUCAGACAACAACUCAAGUACAAAAUAUAUAAAUAAAUAAAUAAGUUAUUAUUAUAUGACUUAUCACCUGCGUAUUGAAUUUUUUAAAGAUCAAUUACUGGGUCCCUUCGCCCCAACUAUAGUGAAGUGCUUCAUAUAUUUAUUGGUCUUGAUUUUAGUUUAAAUAUUUCUUGUGUGCUUUUUUUUUUAUAUUUUUCUUAAAUAUAUAUCGCAUCACUUGGGAUAUUAUUAAAAUAAAUUAUUAUGGUAUUUACAAGUUUUUUUCAAGAAAAUCUAUUACAUGUGACGAAAGUAUUGUUACCAUUAAAGAAAGCAUAUAUUUAUGAACAACAGAAACUAGUGUAGUUGCAUUGUAGCAAGACCCUUACCAUAAAUAUUCUCCUUUUUUUGAUAAAUUACUUGGAAGUGUGGCAUAACUUAAAAUUACUGUAAGGAAGAUUGUUAGUUUCCCUCUAAUGAAUUAAUAUAGACUGCUUAUUCCCUUAUUAUUUUCACAAUAGCCGAUAACACUCAUAGUAUCAUAAUUUUAUAGUAUUAUCCUUAUUAUUAAAUGUACUUUUAUUCAUAUUUAUUAUAAAUUAAAUAAAUAAUAAAAAAUCAAAAUAAAAAUUUUAAAAAAUGAAAAUAAGAAAUAUAUAUCUUAGUGUAAAUUAAAAAUAAGAAUAAAAAAUUUUCUUGUAGUUUUUUAUUUUUUAAAUAUUUUUCUUAUAAUAAAUAUAUAUUUUAUAUUUUAAAGAUUAAAUAAUCAAGUAAAUGAAUCGUUUACCCCCUCUUUUCUUUUAAAUUUUUGGUGUUAGGGAGAUUUUUUAAAGAUUUUUAAAAUAAUAAAGAAACAAAUAGUACUUAUUAUUUUUGUAGGGAAGAAAAAUUAACAAUCUCCCUUACUACAACAACAAUAAUAAUUAAUCCUUUAAGAAAAUAAUAAAUAAAUAAACAAAAAGCGCAGCAUUGUGUAUUACGUACAUUUUGGUCCCAUUAGAAAGUCACGACGACUAGCGCAUCAGAUGUUCAAUCGUUGGUUAGCCAGGAGUUUGUUUUUUGACUUUGAAUUUCUUUUGUUGUUGUGAAGCACGAGCUCGUUGUCAUAGUCAAAUAUUAUGCUGCCGUGAGCUGAGGUUGACCGCUUCCCACUUUCAAGUCUCAACCAAUUAAGUGCUGCCACAGCGGUUAUAUGAUUGACAGUUCUCAUGUAAAACAAGUUAUGAUGUGGCGUUGCAGGAUUGACAGUUGAAUCCAGGGGUUUCCCCUACAAAUGCAAAAUUACGAUUGAUCCAAACACAAAUACAAAUAUGUAUUCCUAGGGUUUGUCUAGAUUAGGGUUAGACGUCCCCAUUAGGAUUUGACAAUUUUGAUACCGUCCCGAACAAUAAAUUAAGAGAGAAUUUUGUUUUGAAUUUUGUCUCCAAAUAAUAAAAUGGGAUAAAAAAUAUAUUUUAAUUUUGUCCUAAAUCCCAAUGGAGAUUCCCAAACAUCCCUAGAUAAUGUAAAUUAUUUAAAAACAUAAUAGGAGGUUAGAAUGUAGGCCAAGCUAAGAAAAUUACUUACUUUUUUUUUUUUCUAGCAGUCAUAUUGACUAAUAGUUUGCCGUCUUAUGCUAUAAAUUCUAUCAUAAAACGAUAUAUUAUACGUAUAUGACUGACAUGUUAUAUCUUUUUACUUUAUCAAAUAGAUUUAUCAUAUACAUAUGAUUAAUAUGUUAGAUCUAUGUGUUUCAUUGAGCUAACUUGUUAUAUAUGUUUAUGGAAAUCCAAAUUUCUGAACGAUCGAUAGUUUCAAAUAUUCUAAAUCCUUUCUCCAAUAGUCAAUCAGUGCAAUAUCAUCCUAUAGUAUGAGCUUUAAUUAUAACGUGCUAUAAGCUUAAAAAAUCUAUAUCAUAAUCUUAUAUAAAUUCACUUUACAUUUACUAUCGCAAUUUUUGUAUGCAUUUUGCUGUGAAUUUAAUGUUUUAGAACAUGAGAUUGAUAUUUGUGUCUUCGAAACUAUGAUGAUCAUUUUGUAAAGGGCACAUAUCCUAAUAUUCUCUAUUGAUUUGAAACUUUUGUUGGUGAUAUAAAAUAAAAUAUAAUAAUAUAAAGGAGUUGAAAGACAAGCUGAUGAAAAAAAGAAGUUAAGCAUUUCAUUGAAUAAAAUAGGAAAGUUGCUUCUUCCUGUAUUAAAAUUAAUAGAUCUAAUUUUCUUCUAAAAUAUAGAGAGCAUCACAAUCAAACAUGCCUAAAAAGGAGAUUAGAAGAAUCUCUCCUAAUCUCUUUCGCUCUUCAUCUCAACCCAUUCUCUGCAAAACCCAAAUCCAGCCACCUUUUCCAUUGGAGGAAAGUCUAUAUUUCUUUUAUUCUUGUUAUACUCAGCUUUAUUCCUGACCCUACACAUCAGUAAAACAAUUGGAUCGGGUCCGGGUCAACCAAUUUAAUUAUCAAGAUAAAAAGUUAAAAACCAAGUGGGACGAUAACCAUGAAGCCGACUCCGAAGAGAAAAUGUACUCUACAGUAGCUACUAUUGAAGGCUCUUGGUCACAAUCUUUUUUUUUUUUUUUUUUCACACUGUAGAAGAAAUUUUUUGCACUAAAUAUGAGUUGAUAUGCAUACAUACGUGACAAGAAAUAAAUGAAUUAAGAACAAUGCUCUAAGAACACUAAAGAUCAUUUGUACAUAGUUUGAUCUACUAUUUUAAUUUUUAUUUAUUUGAUUUAUUUCUAUGUUAAGAGAAAGUAGGUAGUUGAAUUAGAAAACUGCCUGUUAUUUAAUUCGUGAAAAUGACUUACUAGAAAAUAAAAUAACCAAUAAUACAACGUACUGUCUGAAAGAGACAAAAAUAAAAAUUUUCCCCCACAAAUGGCGAAACUGUUAAGCACGGCCAUGGCCCAUGGGGACCAUGAGCUGCUUAUUUUUUAAGUUCUAAAACUGAGAAAGAUUAACGUCACGGCCUCUUAGGGCUGGUCGUGACAUAAAACUCGUCUUGUUGAUUUGACGUUGGUUGCAUCACGAAUGAUGAUCGUGUGUAGCCUUGGCCAUCAAGAUAAGAGUCAAAUUGUAAUUCCUGGGCACCCCGCCAUGUGGUCAAAAGACGAUUGAAAUGCGAAGAAUUGUACGUGGGAGUACUGUGAUACCGUUGCCUGUGAUUUUAGAUAGUAAAAUGAGAACAGUGUAUUAUCAAAAUUGCCCAUUUGAUUAGCUGUUUAGGUAACAAGCAAUCAGAAUUUCCUACGCGUCGAUAGUUUCAUCAAAUUGAGAAGUUACGGAACAUAAGCGAGGCGCCUUCUCUGUUUUUCUAGCCGUAUUUGAACCAAAAAGUGAAAAAGAAAACAUAAAAAAUCGACAUUCCAAUAAUCGAUAAAAUUACUGAACAUGCAAAAACUCGAACAAAAAGAACCUGAGAAACCUAGAACAAUUUAAAAAUCAUGAAGCCGAAGCAUUCUAGCACUUGAAAUGAGACAGAGAAAUAAGAAAUUGCUUUCCUUUCCUUCUUCACCUUAGCUGACCCAUCAAACAUAAUCAGAAGUGAAAAUGCCAAAAAAAGCAAAUAUACCUGUUAGAAAAGAAAAUGAAAGUAAGACUAAUUGAUAUUAAGCUACCGGCGGCGAGAGUAAGCCCUAAGGGAAGAUCGUAGAAGACUUUGUUGAACCAGAAGUGGUGGGUCUGGCGCAAGGAAUGCAAGCAUAGAAAAUGGCUUUGAGAGCAUUCUUGAGAACUUGGCCUCGUUUUGGGAUCAAACGCGGAUUUGUCGUCGACGAAGUUGCAGCUGUAGCCGCCAUGUUACAGGGGAAAUUGCACUGUGGGAGCACUGAGGAAGGUUCGAUUGUCGGGAAGCAGCAACCUUAGCCAAGGGUAGAGAGAGAGAGAGAGAGAGAGAGAUGAAGCUCGAACGAAGCACCGACGUCGUACAAAUAGAGUGUGUCGAGUCCGCGGUUCCGUGUUGACAGCCGUGUGGUGUUCUUGAAUUUCACUGUUGUAUAUUUUGUGUUAAGUUCAUGAAAGAAAUAAGACUGUUGGUCCUUUAAAUACAAGCCCCAGGCAUUUGAUUUAAUAUUUUGGCUCUAAAUCUUUACCAUUUUGCUUUUUUUCUUUUUGGAACGAGUCCUCCGUUUUAAGCACGCGCGUAGAGCAGAGUCCCGUGCCCAAGACUUCGUCCACUCCUCUGGGCUCUGGCUCCACAUCUACUCCCCGAAGAAAGACGUGUACGGGCCAAGGCUAAGAUGGUAGGAUAUCUCUUAACGUUUUGUCAUUUAACAAAGCAUGAGUCUUAUUCGGGAUUCAUUUUGUUUUUUUUUUAAACAUUAAAUUUUAGUAAAUCUUAUUGUGGGAUUUACUUACGGUCGCACAAUGAACAUAAUAUUCUAUCAAACAACAAAAAUAUCAAUCAAUUUUACCAACAAAGUGUUGGUUCCACUGGCAAUAGAGUCUUCUUAAGUGACUUAACUGAGUUUGCUCCUCAAUUCGAGUUGUAGGGAAGUCGCCUUUGUUGGGAGAAUAUGUGUCUCUUGGUUCGAGCGGGGACUUUUAGUCUGGGUUGUGGUACAGGCUUAAAGGUGCCUCCCACAAUUAGGACCCUUCCCAAGAUACCUCGUGGUUAAAAAAAAAAAAAAAAAAAUGAAUAAAUUUUUCUUGGCACCUGAUAGAUUGAGAUGAUAGAAUUGAUCUAUUAAAAAAAUUUUCCAUGUGUUAAAAACUCGGAACAGCUAACACGGCAUGCGAUGUUUUACGUGGCGUCCAAUUAUUUUUACUUUUUUAAUUGAACAGGUGAAGUUUUAGAACACGCGGUUUGUUAGCUUUCUACUUUUUCUUUCCGCGUCGCAACUGGUGGCUUUGCCUUUGCCUUUGCCUUCAGCCCAGGGCCGUGGCAACAGAAUUGACCAACUUACCCUCGACGAAUUUCGAGUGAAGAAGGUUAUAGCGUUAAAUCCGUUCAGAAGAAUCUUUAACUGAGGUGAAGUGUGAACGCGAUCGGAAUAAUCAAUUUGCGUGUCAACCGUUCAGACCUCAAAACUGCUCCUCUUCCUCUGUUAUCUUUAUGAAAAUGAAAAACUUUACAUUUUAUUUUCAUGAAAAUGGUUUUUUUUUUUUUAAUUUUUUUUUCCACGAACUUGGUGAAGGUUACUUCGCUCCUUAAAUUAUAAAAAUAAUUUCUUAAACUAAACUAAAUUUUUUUUGGUAAUUUUCUUUUAAGUUGACUUAUUGAUUACUUUGUUUUUUUUUUUUUUUAAUUUUUGAAAGAGACUUAAGGGAUGGUGUACACUUUUUUUCUUCGUGCAAUGUUUUUAGACCUCCGUUUGUAUAGCUCUUCCAUUGCAUUGUUGGUGACAUUCUGUCUAGAGAUUGAUUAUUAGUGUCCGUCUACGUUCGCAUACAUGCGUGAUAAGUAAUCACUGAUUUGAUUCUUUUACCAAAAAUGGUUGUUAAAUUGUGAUGAUCAAGAGAAGGAUCCAACGACUUUAAACUAACACACACUAAUUAAGUUAUCGACGAGACCUGCUUUUAAAAGAGAAUAACCGAUGUUGCACCCUCUCUCUUUUUGGAAUUCUAACCAACAAAACAAUCUUUGUUUUGUUCGAAAUAUGGCCAAAAAUCUCUUUUUUUGGAAUGUUAAUUUUUAUAAAUUGUACCAACUUCCGAGAAUAUAUAAUACAGUAAUUAACAUCACUAUGGACAAUGCUUAUGUCAAUUCUUAUUCAAUCUCCACGACCAUAUAUAUAUUAGUACAACACUGCAUGCAUUAGUGGCUUUAAUAUAUAUAUAUAUAUAUAUAUAUAUAUACCGUUGCAUGGAGCCAUGCACAUGCAUACACCAUGGGUAUUAUGAAUGUAUGUAUCGAUAUAAUUAGCAAUAACCCUUUUAUUUUUCAUAACAUAUAUAAUUAUAUACAGUUUUUCAUGCACAGCUAUCAUUAUAUUUGUUUUUUAUGACAUAAUACAAUAUGAAUUUUGGUCCAAAUGAGAUUGGCAUGGAUAAAAUAAAUUAAUAUUUAUAUACUAAUUUUAUUGUAAAAUACGCAUGCAUCAAUAAGAGUUGUAAUUAAGCAACCUAGACUUGCAUGUCGCGUUUUGUUAUCGAUUUCGUUUUAAUGCAUUCGAAAUGCUUCAAAUUUUUUUUUUUAAUUAUUUUUAAUCAAAUAUAUGUUAUGCUUAUGGUGAUCGGUUGAUCAUCUAUAUGUCAGAUUACUGCUACUCUUCAGCGUGGAUUAUUCUCGGCCAUUAGAUAAUAUCCAACGGCCAGUUUGAUAAAUGACAAAAAAAUUAUGAUAUGUACUCAUGGUUAUAAAGUAGUCCCGGCUUGAUUACUAACAUUUUUUAUUUUUAAAUUCUGUUUUUUAUCUUCUUUUUUUUUUUUUUGGAAAAUAAUAGUUAUUAGUUCUUUUCUUAAUUUCUUUUUCAAGGUAUUUAUUAUUUUUAUACAUGUUGUGAGGGCAAACAAAGAAAAGCCUUUUGUAAAUCCAAAAUCUUACAAGAUGUCUCUAAACUACAAAUCUAUUAGUGACGUUGUUUUAUGUUAUAUUUGAAAUUGAGGUGUUACCUUUUAAACUAUAACUAUUGUGGAAAAAAAAAUUAUAAUUAUUAUACAAAAAUUAAUAAUAUGUAGUAAAUAUAAAUUUUAAAUAAUAAUUUUGAUAAAAUUAUUAAAGAUAUAAUAGAUUUUUCAUCAUACAAGUGAAAAAUAAUAUUAACAUAACUUCCAAGUUACAGUAGCUAGUGUUUACCAAAUAUUUUAUUGUUAUAACUUUUAAACUACAGUUGCUCAACCACAAUUCCAAACGCACCCUUAACCAGUUUUAUUAUGAAACCAAAUUCUAGCUAAAAAAAAUUAUAAAUUGUAUCAAUAUCAAAAUUUAUGAAAAUACCAUUUUUGUUUCAAAAAUCGUCAAAGCUCUCCUUAAUAAUAAAUUGUAAAAACCAUAUAUUUUCCUACAUCCAUUUUGUGUGUGUGUGUGGUGGGGGGAACUGCGUACAACGAGAUGCAUAUACUCAAGAAGGCAAUUAUUAGUAAGGAGACAUAAUUAGAUAAUAAAAGAAAUGGGAUACUAAAUGUGCAGUGGAGUAGAAGUUUUAAGUGUCAUGUCAACUUACCUCAUAAUACACAAAACAACUUAUUUUAUAUUCGCAUGCAGGGCACGGCCUUGAUAAAUAAUUAAAUUUAAUCCAUAUCUUGUCCUUUUGUGGUUUAAGCGUCGAUUGAUCUUACCUUAUAAAGUAUUGGUGUAUCUUAAUUCCUAAACAAAACCACAGAAAAAUAUUAUAUAUGAAGCAAAAUCAAUUUACUGACUGUUCAUUUGAUCGCAUAAUAAGAUUUUAUUAUUAUUAUUAUAAUUUUUAAUUUCAGCUGUUGACAUAAUAAUAAGAUAUUUUUGUUAGAAAUCACACGUGGGCUUCUGUUUAGCGCGAGAGCGUCCAUCGAAACUGGGCUCCUUGAAACUCCCAGUUUCAUUUUUCUUGGGCCCUAAUGACUGAGUUCUAGUGGCAUUUUGGUCAUUUGAGAGGUUCCCUAUUGAUUUUAUAUUGAAGAGUUGAACUAUUGGGACCCUUCCAAAAUUAAAACCCCUUUUUUCGAGUGUACCUUAAUGCUAAAAAUACCCUCUUUGUGAAUAUUUUUAUUUGGUGAAACCCCUCUUUUCUCUAACUUCCCCUUUUCAAUAUCAAGUGUUGGGUUUCAGUCAUCUUCUAAAACUUAAACCAAAUUCACACUAAUGAUUACUAAUUAUAACCAUCUGCAAAAUAUUAUUAGGGCAAUAAAACCAAAGAACAAGAAGAAAUUUGAAGGGGAAAAAAAAAGAAGAAGCUAUCCUAAUUAGUUAAAAAGAAAACACUCAAUAUAUUAAACAUUGAGAGAGAAAUAUCAUUUGAUUAAACUUCUUUUUUUUUUUUUUUUGCAAAUUUUGACUAUAGAAAUUAAAUAAAGAAGAGAGAGAGCGAGAGUUGUUAUGGAAUAAUAGUGGUGUUAUUAGAAUUAAUUAAAUUUUUAGAUAUUUUAAUGGCACAUCUUUAGCGAAGGGGUUUUUCAAGACUUUUUUUAGGGGUGUAAGUACACUAGUUUUAUUCAUAAUUGUCUUAAAAUGUGAUUUUAAUAGAAUAGGGAUUUUAUGAGAUUAAUUAAGGGAUGCCAAUAAUACAACUCCAUGUUCAAAUAGUUAUACAAUGAUUUUUUUUUUCAUGUAUUUUUUUACACUAUGACAUUUUAAAAGUAUCAUGUUUCCUCUUUUGUAGCAACAACUAAAGUUGCAAUAAAUCACAUUAUUAUAUCAAUAAUAUAUAAUAUUUAAAUUCUAAUGAUUUAUGUCACUCAUUUAUUAGAUGAUAAAUUUCAUGAAUUAUAAAAUUAUUGAACAACCAUCUAAUAGAUGAAUUUCAUAUUAAUUAGGAUAAAAUUUGUGAUUUAAAUGUUUGGAUGCCUCACAUUGCUAUUAUGAUUAAUCAACUAAUGAGAUUGUACAAUGUACCAAGAAAAACCAUCACACAAUAACCAGAGCCACCAAAGGUUCAUAUAAAGCACUAAUUCAUCUCACUCUAAAAUUGCCCUCCACGUACUUAUAAGUUAUAACUCUAAGUACUAAGGGCCAACUUAAGAUUGUGCUUGAGAUGAUUUAUAAUUAUCUGAAGUUGAAGUUAAAAAUUAAUUUUGAUGUUUAAUAAUUUUCAAAAAUUAUUAAUUCUACGACAAAUUUUAAAAAGUAAGGUAGUAUAAAUUAUACAAACCCCAAAAUUAUGUUUACUCUCAAUUCUAACUCUAAACAGGGAACAAAACUAUUGUUUAUCUUUAGUUUUUUUUUUUUUAAUUUAUUGAUUAAAAUAUAUGUAACAGCUGAAUUUUUUUUUUGUUUUUGUUUUUGGAUUAUUAGUAUAGUUGAUUUAAAACAUCAGUAACACACCAGUACGCACACUCGAUGCCUGGGCCAGUUGACUGUUGGUCAAAUUUCAACGUCGGCAGAGUCAAUGUUUUAUGCCAAGGAUGGUGGCUUGUUUCAUUCUUGACUAAAAGAAAAACAGCCCUUACUAAUAUUUGAAAUGUAAAGAAUCAAACAACAAUAAUUCCAUAGAAUGUGUUGAAAAAGGAAUUGCUAAUUUUCGUCUACGCAUAUGCUCUGUUUGCGCAGUUAUGAUCUAUUUUCAAUUUUUGCACUGCCUCUUUCUUUUUUUACUUCUUUUUUUUUUUUGUUUUUUUGAAGUGUAUUCGUGGCUUAAUCUCACGCUAAUUUGAUUGAUUUAUGGUGGUUGAAUCUUGAAACUCAAGCGUUAGAUAAAAAAUUCAAACCCCAGAGUUUUACACACACACAUACCCGAAACUUACAAUGAAAUUGGAGAUGAAUUAUCCGUAAUAAGCAAACUAUUAAAAGACCAAAGCAUUUCCAAUCACAAAUAUGAGAGAAAGCAUGGUGUUGCUUUGAGAAGGAGACGCGAGAGAGACAAAAUAAGAGAGCCUAAAAGACAUGCGUGAAGACGAAGGAAUUUUUUUAAGAUACAUAAAAGAUAAUAUAAUCAAUUAAUAUAUGUGUGACAAACAUAAUUGUUGAUGCCGAAAUCUGCUCGUCCUAUGCCCGACCAGAUCUUUACACCAACGUUUGUAAUAUCAGCAAUGAGGAUGUCAAUUUCUCCUUACUUCAACGAUCGCUCUGGUUGCUGAAGUUAGACUUCUCAUUCUUUUUCUCACUAAGUCUGCGUUCACAAAAAUGGGUCAGAGACGCCGGUGGUUUUACCGGCGUAAACCCUCCGAUGCCUAAGUUAGCACAAGGUAUUUUACAGGAAAACGGUGCAAUUAAGGUUCAAAUAAUUGCUUAGAAUUGACUCACUAUUGGUCCUAAAAAGGGUCUGGAUACAAUUUGGCAGAGUUUUCCCCUCUCUCAAUUUUUCUGUCCCUUUCUUCAUCGAUUUCUUCCCCUUUUAUAGCCGUUGUCCCACGUUUUCAUUCACCCUCCAUCCCCUUUUUUCGGGUAGUGACAGCCCCUUAUGGGAUUCUAACUGCUGCAUUGUGGGCAAACGUGGGAUCUCGCGUCUCCCUCAACGGUUCUGGGAGAAGCGCAAUUGUCGUAAUUUUGUGAGAUCGUGUUCCCGCUCUUUGGGGGAUGGGCACCGGCUCGGUAUAUGUCUCUGGCCGGUAUACUCUUCUGGCUGGUACUCGUCUCUGGUCGGCCCAUUUGUAGAAGGCUCAUUACCAGUGUUCUGUUCGUACCACUCGGCUGAGGUGGUCCACCUCGGCGUGAGGAUGAUGACAUGGCUGAGUUGGUGCUCUUAUAUACUUAACACCAGUCCCCCAUUUUCUGGUCUUACGAGUGAAACAAGUUGAGAGUAGAAACUAAUACUUGAACCCUACCGGUGUUGAGUGUUAGAAAAUGCAUAUUUAUAAAGGAGAAAACCGUCAUUUUACGUUUCAAGUCUUACUAACAACCCUUACUUUUAUGUAUUUAACCCUCUUGUGAUGUAAUUACGUGUGUGUUAUUUUAAUUAAGUAUUUUAUGUAUUUUAGGGGCAUUAUAGUCAUUUCACAAUAAAGGAGAGAUCAGACGGCAAAACGGACAUCACUUUUGAACUCAGGACGGUCGAAAACCUUAGGAGGAGCAUAAAAGGAAAAAUGGCACUAUUCACAUGUACGGUACUAUUCACGUAUACGGUACUGUCUACGUUACUGUUCACGACACUGUUCACAUAGACGGAUCGAUGACGUGGCAUUGACCGAUGAUGUGGCAUUGACUGAUGAGGUGUCACGAUCCUGUUGGACUAAAAUUCUUAUGUACUGUUGAUGGUGACGUGGCAGCAUAUCAGUGGACGAAAAAUCUCGCGUACGGUGCAUGCAUCACACAGGAUUAUUUUCAACCAAACCGCGUUACUGUUCAUCCGGGUCAAACCAGAUUACUGUUCAUCCGCGUGGUCAAACCGUGGACUGUUGACUGAUGACGUGGCGUAAUCCUGAGCGUCCAAACUGUUUUUAAUCCGAUGGCCAUGAUUUACUCCAUGUAUCUAUAAAAAGGGGGCCUCCCCCCCCCCCCCCUAAUUUGAUAUCUCUGAAUCCAUUUUUAGGAUCCAUUUUCUGUAAUUCGUUCUCCAUCUUGUAUUUUCUUUGUAUUUUAAUAAAUUCCCAUUUUGCCCCUAGUUCAAUUAUGAAUAGCUAAUUUCCUUUCAAGCUUGGGUUGAAGGUGAAGUCUCAACAUGUGUCAUGGGCUUUAUUUGGUAAAUUUAUUUUCUUUUCCCCUCUAGUUUUUGUGGAUGAUUUGACUUAUCGUCGACAAAUAAUACUGAUCUUGUCUAGAUACCGCCUUGGUUACACCGGCUCUCUAGUACAAGGUUAUUAUUAUUUGGCACGAUAAGCCCUUAGCACCAUAUUGAUUAGAGCGUGGUUCAUGAGGUGUGGAUUCCCCCCUCAUGAUUUAAUUGGUAUUAAUAAGGAAUAUUUAGCCCAUGAUGCAUGUUGAUACGGAUCCAGAUACCCAAGUACGUCAUUUCAAUAGAAUUCUCUUCAAUUUAUUCUCGCUAUUUCAAUUCCAAUUUUAGAAUUUAUUCUCGCCAUUUUAAUUUAAGUUUUAGCAUAUUCUAAAUCAUUUCCACCACAAAUCCAAUCACCCAUUUACAGAAUUAAUUCUACACAAUUAAAAUCCACCUCCUCGUGGGAUCGACACUCGUCACCAUUGAUCUAUACUACAAUAGAUUCGUGCGCUUGCGAGUUCAUUAAAAUUUACACAACAACCGGCUCGGGGAACUUCCCAUCUGGCCUUCUGUUUACUGGGAUGGACCUGAGGCUCCCUUUCUCAUCUGAGGAAAUUUCUUUUAUCCGAGCAUGGGCCUUUAUGAGUAUAUCUCGUAUAUAUUUGGGCUUAUUCCUCGUCAGGCCUUUUGUAACGGUUAAUGACGUGGCGUUUCUCGAUUUUUCGUAUUUGAAAUUUGAAAGGACGGGCUAUCCAUCCUCGAUAUAUGGUGAGUGAGCUGGCAUCCCCAUCACUUAAACGCUUCCAUUUCCCCAUUUUCGUUUCAAAUCCCUAGAUUAAAAUCAUCAUCGUUCUGUUAUUCGUCUCUCCGCCGUUAAUCAACCCCCUCUUCGAACUUUGCUCACACUUCCUGCGUCCGGAGUAUCCACUUGCUGAGUGUUCUCUCUGUCACGGCAGCGCUCUCAGUGCCAGUUUAUUCCAGGUAUAACUUUUAACUUCUUCUCUGGUUGUUGUUGGUUAGGUUCUGUAUUGCCCCUUUUGUAUCUGUAUACUCGAGUUUGCUUUGUUUUCUUUUGGGAUUUCGAUAUGUCAAAUCGGAAAAGGAAGCUAAUUACCGAUGAGAGUGACGAAGAAACAGGGGGUUCAGACCUUAACUUAUCCAUAUCCACUGAUUUUUUACGUCCCUCUGGUAGUAUAGGUCCUUCCCAUGGUAGGGAUACCCUUGAGUACCCACGUCCCCUGACCAUUUCACCUUCCCCUGAAUUAGAACUUGUAGGCAAUAGAGGGGGACCAGCGUCUGGCUCGGGUGAGAACCACGGUUCUGGUGGGGUUGGGGUCCCUGGAGAAGUGGGUGAUGGUGAGGGUAGCAGUUCCGAGCCGAAUAGACCUGCUAAGAAAAGGAAUCUUGGCCAUAGGGUGGAGGCGGAUUCCUACCCUAUUGAUUUCAUAGCUUGUGCCACCACCCCCACUGAUCUAUUUAAGCUUAUGAACCUCUACAACAUUCCCAAUGAGGUUCUCCUUGUAGUUCUUGAAAAAGGUGAUGUUCCUAGUUGGUCUCCGAAAGGGUAUGUGACGAUGCACUUAGAGAGUUUCAGACUAGGAGCUCGGCUGCCCCUUCAACGUUAUUUUGCCAAGAUACUGGGCGGUAUGCACUUGGCCCCAGGUCAGCUACACCCAAAUGGGUGGAGGGUUCUCUCGACAAUGUUUGUGUUGUGGGAGAGGUGCGGGCUGGAGGAGCUUUCCCUUGUUGAAGUGAAGCAUCUGUACCAGCUGCGGAGUAGCCCGAGGGAAGCGGGCUAGUACUACUUUAUGUCCAGUUCUGCAAAGAGGAACCCGAUCACUGGGUUUCCUUCUUCAUGUAAAAAUUAGAAGAACAAAUUCUUCUUUGCUGGAGGAAACUGGUGUCCAGCAGUUCGGUCGCUUGGUGGGGAUAUUUACCUUCCAACAUAAUUUGUCACUCCAGGUCGUUCAUUUUUGCCUAUGUUCUUAAUCAAAUUGUCACUUAUUGGUUUCUUUAACCUCUUUUGCUAUUUCAGAGUCGUGGGGUUUGAUCGAGGGGCUUGAAGACCGACCUUUGCUUCAGGUGGAAACUGCUCUGGUGAACGCGUCUACCUGCCAAGACCUCCUGUCACCAACAAACCUGGUCGGUUCGGGUCUAGUAGACAUAACUGCUGGAAUGGAUAGCAAGAUCCUCAACGCAAUGAGCAGAAAGCGUGGUCGGGCUCCAAGCAGCUCCAGCAACCCUCCCCCUCCUCCAAAGAAAACCAGCGUCAGUCCUUCCAAGGCUCUUGUUCCUGCCCUGCCCCCUCCUCCACCUCGUAAGAGUGGUGGGGAGAAAACUUCCGACAAGAGUCCUGAGGUCAGCAUCCAGUCUGGGGACCGAUCAUAUCCUCUUCCAUCUCGGGAUCAAGGUGACUACCUGAGCCCGUAUCAGAAGGAUUACAUCGGUGGGGCCCAAAAUGGUGAAGGACAUUGAGAGUAUGAACCUCUCCGAGCUAGCUGGUUCUGUUCAAAGAGUCUCAUUCAGGCUAGCCACCAUGGUUUCGUGUUACAAGAAUGGGUCCGCGCGCCAUGAAAGGAAGCUUCAAGCUGAUAAUCAGGAGUUGAAGAAGAAAGCUGAAUCUGCUUAUCACUUGAAGGAGAAGCUGGCUGAGUUGAACAAGCAGAUUACGGACCUGGAGGAGAAAGUUGCUAUUGCUGAGUCCACCACCUCCAAACUUGAGGGUGAAUUGGGUGAUCUGAAGUCUGAUCUUCAGGCUACUCAAAGUGAAAGAGAUACUUUGAGGACCGCCCUUGAGGGAGAAAUCAAGUCCCUGAGUGAGCAGUUGGCUGAGGCGAAAGGCAAAUCUGUCGAUGUGGACGAUCGGCUGGAUGCCGAGUAUGACUCUUGGCUUGCUUUCAGCUAUAAAUGUAUCAUGUCUGUGCAUAAGGAAGAAUAUCUCGAGUUGGACAUGAGCAAGCUAGAGGCUGGCGUGCAGAGAUAUAUAGCUGAGGCCGACCAGGGGGAUAAGGAACAAGGUGAUCAAGACCAGGUGGAGGCUCCUUUAGGAGGGGUGCAGGCGGAGGAAGCAGGAGAUCGUGCUCCUGAAGUUGGUCAAGGGUCGGUGCCUCCUCCCCCCAACGUUGCUGAUCCUCCUCUCCCGGAGAUUGUUGAUCCCUUAACUGCUGAAGCUGCUGAUCCUCAUAACCUUUAAACUUAUUUUUGUAUAAAUUUUUGACUUUCAUUUGUUUGCAAUUGUUUGAACGUUUAUAAAUUUUUAGAUGCUCUCUAUUGGCCUUCUUGUCUGAUUUUUUGUUCAUGGAUUGUUUUUGCAAAUUAACUUGACAAUUUAUCUGAUUUUGCCUGCUGGUUCUUUAGUGGACCAAGCAGGAAUAGGCACUUGUUUCCCAUAACGAAAUUUGUACAUUUAUCUGCUGGUCCUUUAGGCGACCAAGCCGGAAUAAGCACUAGCUUGCCUUAGUAAAUAUUCGUAGAAUUGCCUGCUGGUCUUUCGUUGACCGAGCAGGAGCAGGCACUUACUUGCCUUAGUAAAUAUUCGUAGAAUUGCCUCCUGGUCUUUCGUUGACCAAGCAGGAUUAGACACUUACUUGCCUUUGUAGAAUUUUGUGGCAUUACUUGCUGGUCUUUGUUGACCGAGCAGGAUUAGGCCCUUACUUGCCUUAGUGAGGUAAAUAUUCGUAAAAUUGCCUGCUGGUCUAGAGUUGACCGAGCAGGAUUAGGCACUUACUUGCCUUUGUGAAAAUUCCAUAAAAUUGCAUGCUGGUCUUUCGUUGACCGAGCAGGAUUAGGCACUUACUUGCCUUAAUGAAGUAAAUAUUCGUAGAAUUGCCUGCUGGUCUUUCGUUGACCGAGCAUGAUUAGACACUUACUUACCUUAGUGAAAAUUUCGUAAAAUUGCCUGCUGGUCUUUCGUUGACCGAGCAGGAUUAGGCACUUACUUGCCUUAGUGAAAAUUUAAUGGAACUGUCAACAGAAGGAUUUCAUGCUGAAUUCGUCUUUAUUGAAAUUUGAAUGCAUUACAGAAAUGCGGAAUAUAUGCAUGUGUAACAAUUCAUCAUGCAUUUAAUAGAAAUAACUUGUCAAAAUGAAGACUUAGUAGAGCACUUUGCUUACUGAAAAUACUUCUUCAAGUGCUCGGCGUUCCACGACCUCUUCACGUCUCGUCCGUCUGGGUACGUUAGCUUGUAAGCUCCUGGCCCAGUCGCUCGAAUCACCCUGUACGGGCCUUCUCAUUUCGGAUCGAGCGCGCCAUGGUUAGGAUCCCUUGUGUUUUGAUUCACCUUCCUAAGCACCCAAUCCCCUGCUCGGAACUGCCUCACGCGUACGUUCUUGUUGUAAUAACGCGUGACUCUCUGCUGACACUAGGCCACCUUUUGCGAGGCCCCUUCCAUUUUCUCCUCCAACAGGUCCAGGCUCAAGCAGAUCUGCUCAUCAUUUUGCUCCUCAUUGAAAUAUUCUGUCCGAUGCGUUCCUACUCCAAUUUCUGCUGGGACUACCGCCUCAUGACCAAAAGCUAAAGCAAACGGGGUUUCCCCGGUGGCGGUUUUGUGAGUUGUUCGGUAAGCCCACAAUACUCCUGGUAAUUCGUCGACCCAAGCUCCCUUCUUCUCUCCCAGUCUUAUUUUCAGGAGUUUCUUUAUUACUUUGUUGGCUGCUUCCACUUGUCCAUUUGCCUGGGGGUGUGCGGGUGUGCAGAACUUCAGGUCCACCCCCAGGUUUCGGCAAAAUUCUCUGAAGUUGUUGUUGUCGAAUUGCCUCCCAUUGUCUGUGAUGACGGUAUAGGGAAUUCCGUAUCUGCAGAUGAUAUUCUUUCAAAUAAAAUCCGUUGUCUUUCUCUCCGUGAUUUGGCUGAGGACUCCCACUUCUACCCACUUGGUGAAGUAAUCUAUUGCUACAAUAGUAUGUGUUGCCGCUCCUCGGCCUUUUGGUAACGGACCAAUCAGGUCAAUUUCCCAUUGAGCAAAAGGCCAUGGGGAUGUCAUAGUGGUCAGCUUUUCUGGGGGUUGUGCAGAAACCUCAGAGAAGUUUUGGCAGGUUUUACAGUUCUUUGCCAUCCUUUUCGCAUCCUGGUGCAUGGUUGGCCAUAAGUAUCCUUGCUGGAGUGCCUUGAAGGCUAAAGUUCUUGCUCCUGAGUGAUUGCCACAUAUCCCUUCAUGAAUCUCCCUCAGUACAUAAUCUGCCUCCUCGUCAUCCAAACAUCUUAAAAGGGGCAAGGUGAACCCUCGGCGAUACAGCACUCCGUCAAGUAGCGUGUACAUCGCUGCUCGGCAUUUUAAUUUUCUGCUUGCCUUUUGUCCUCUGGUAAAACUCCAUCGUGGAUAUAUGCGUGAAUCGGGUCCAUCCAGGAUUCUCCAGUGCUUAUUCUAAUCACCUCUACUUCUCCCCCUAUACUUGGUGACAUCCUUACCUCUAGUGGAACUAACUUAGGUAAUUUUGGAUCUGUAAUUGCAGCCAUUCUAGCCAACAUAUCGGCUCUGUAAUUCUCAUUCCGGGAUAUCUGCUUUACCUCUACCUCUUUGAAGAGUCCGACCAUUUGCUUCGCCUUCUUCAAGUAAAGCCCCAACUUCUCUUCCCUUACUUGGAAUUGGUCACAGAGCUGAUUGCAGACUAGCUGGGAAUCUGCUCGGAUUUCAACUCUUUCAGCUCGUAGCGCGUGUGCAAGCCCGAGCCCAGUAAUGAAGGCCUCAUAUUCAGCUUGGUUAUUCGUAAGUUGAAACUCAAAUUUUACUGCAUAGGAUACCUCAACUCCUUUUGGGCUCCGUAUUACCACUCCUGCUCCGGACCCUUGUUCACUACGCGACCUAUCGACCAUCACCAGCCACACCCCCUUUGGUUUCCCCUACUCGAUUGCUCGUUCCUCCCGAAUCUCUUCCCCUGGUUCAGCUCGGUCAACCAUAAAAUCGGCCAGAGCUUGGGCUUUGACUGCUCCUCGGGGCUUAUAAGAUAGGUCAAACUCGCUCAGCUCCACGGACCAUUUUACCAACCGACCAGAUGCAUCUGGUUUUUUAAGCAUUUGCCGAAGGGGCUGGUCAGUCAUCACAACAAUCUGGUGGGCUUGGAAAUAUGGUCGGAGUUUGCGUGUUGCCGUUAUUAGAGCCAGCGCCCACUUCUCCAUCAGUGGAUACCUGGUUUCUGCGUCCACUAGGGCCUUGCAUGUAUAGUAUACCGGGUGUUGCCUUCAUUCUUCCUCUUUGACUAAUAUCGAGCUGGUAGCCCAUUUAGAGAUUGCCAAGUACAAAAGCAGCUGGUUACCCUCUCUCGGAGUUGAUAGUAACGGGGCGCGGGCUAGGUAUUCCUUCAGCUGUCCAAAUGCCUCCUCGCAUUCUGAUGUCCAUUCCAUCUUCCUCCAUUUCUUUAUGAUUUAGAAGAAAGGGUGGCACUUAUCAGUGGCUCGCGAAAUGAAUCGGUUCAAUGCUGCCAAUUUCCCCGUAAGGCUCUGCACCUCCUUAACUGUUCGUGGGGACCUCAUUUCUAUCACCGCCCGUAUCUUUUUCGGGUUGGCUUCAAUCCCUCGGUGGCUCACCAGGUAUCCCAAAAAUUUGCCUGAACUGACCCCAAAUGCACAUUUCUCCGGGUUCAGCUUUAUUUCAUACCUCCUCAGCAAUUCGAAGGUCUCUUCCAAGUGCUUCACAUGAUCUCUCGGUUCCAUUGACUUUGUGAUCAUAUCAUCCACAUAUACCUCCAUAGUGUGACCGAUCAAUGGUUUGAAGACCUUGUUCACUAACCUUUGAUAGGUAGCUCCUACAUUUUUCAGGCCAAAAGGCAUCACCCUGUAACAAAACAAACCCAUGUUAGUUAUAAAGGUGGUGCUUUCCUCAUCCUGCUUGUCCAUGGGUAUCUGGUUGUAUCCGAAAAAGGCAUCCAUGAAAUUGAGCAGACUAUGACCCGCGGUUGAGUCCACCAACUGAUCUAUUUUUGGUAUGGGAAAGCUGUCAUUCGGGCAUGCCUUAUUAAGGUCUGUGAAGUCUACACACAUUCUCCACUUCUCAUUGGCCUUCUUUACCAGUACUACAUUGGAAAUCCACUCCGGGUACUUGGCUUCCCUUAUAAAUCCUGCUUUUAGCAGCUUUUCUAUCUCGGUAUUUAUGGCCUCGUACCUUUCUUGGUUGAAGCACCUCAUUUUCUGCCUCACCGGCCUUGCUCCUCCCCUGAUCGCUAACUUGUGGCAGGCUACCCUUCGAUCAAUUCCUGGCAUAUCCUCAUGAGACUAGGCAAAUAUGUCUGCAUGGGACUGUAGACACUUCACCAGCUCGCCUUUUAUUGCUUCGCCCAAUUCUGAUCCGACCUUAACCACUCUACUCGGGUCACUCCUGCUUACAACAACUCCCUCCAGCUUCUCAAUAGGUUCCUGUCGAUCAUUUUUUUAAUCCCCUCGGUUAUCUAGAGAGGUAACCUGUAGCGUUUCCUUGGCCGCUGUAGCAUAGCAGCUCCUUGCCAUUCUUUGGUCGCAUUUUACUACACCAACAACUCCAUUUACUCUGUACUUCAGCGCCAGAUAAUGCGUGGACAUUACACAUUGGCUUAUCCUCAUGAACGGUCUCCCCAAUAUCAUCUGGUAAGGGCUCAUUUCCUCUACCACGACGAAGUCCAACAUCAUCGUUCUUUCAAACGGCUUUGUCCCCACAGUAAUCGGGAGUUCGAUGAUCCCCAUGGGAGUUAACCGUCCCCUUCCAAAUCCCUUUAAAGAUGUAUUUGUCCGUUCCAACUUCAAGUCUGCAAUUCCCAUAUCAUCUAGGGCCGACUUAAACAAGAUGUUAACCGAGCUGCCCGUAUCUACCAGUAUUCGUCGCAAUUUUAUACCAGCCAUCAUUGCCUUAAUUACCAAUGCAUCCUCAUGAGGAUAUAAAAUACCCUCUUCGUCGUCAUCUGUCCACAUAAUGGGAACUUGCCGCACUUUUACCUUCUUGGCUACUGGCAAAUUGAAAAGCACUUCUUUGCUGGUCAUGGCGUAUCUCUCAUAGUUCUUUCGUGCCCUGUUCGAAUCCCCAGCCAAUGUUGGCCCUCCUGCUAUAACACGGAUAGCCGGCUGUUCACGUUCCAGAUCCUUCUCAACUCCUUCAUCCCGUGUGUAUUGUGAUUCAAUGACAGGGGACACUCCAUCUACGUACUCAUCAAAGUAUCGAUUCCUUACUAAAUCCUUGAUGCAGCGGAAGUUUAAUGUUCAAAAUAUUCCGUUGAUUCUAGAGAAUACCGGAAUAAAAGAACAACUAAAUUCACGUUGAUUUAAAAGAAUACCGCGAACUUAGGGGUUAAGACUCGUUGAUUCAGAAUACCGAGAAUUAACUGUUCAAAUACUCACAAAGAGAUUUGAAAAUUGAAAUAUUAUUGAACUCAAAGUUCUGCUUGUAAAAGCUACAAAACACACUUAUUUUUACUAAGUAAAACUUAUCCUAAUAUGAUUAGAAAACCUAUUUUAAUAAGACUUAUACCUAAAUUAGGAAUAUUACCCAAAUAAGCAAUACCUAAAUAAUAAGACUCUAAAUAGGAAACCAAAUUAAACUAGAAUACAAAUUAAUUAAAAUAUUCCUAAAUAUUAUACAUUUAACUCUAAUUAGGAUUUCUUCAAUUUCUUGCUCUGCAUCAUUCCCGCCAGGUUGGAGAAAAUUCGUCCUCGAAUUUUGUAUGUUGUAGUCUUCAAGAACAUGUUCAUGUGCAUAAGGAUUAAUUUUUAAAACAGAGCUUUGACAUAGAUGACGAACUUUAAAUUUUCCAACUUUUGUAAUAACGUCCAUCCAAUCACUCCAAUAGCGUAAAAUAAAUUCUUCUAUCAACAACUUCUCCAAUAAUGUCUUCUCGUAUUGUUCGUAUCGAACAUCAACAUAAUUGAGGAAAAACGAUUUCUUCUCAUAAUCCAUUAAUUGUUGAAAAAGAUCACAACUUUUUUUGUCUUCUUUUGGCAAAUCAAGAGAACAAUAGGAGAUUGUAUCAACAACUAUCUCUCUUUCCUCCACAAGAUCAAAAGAUGGAUGAACAAUUACCUCUUCUUGUCCCACAAUAUCAAGAUACUCAUCAAAUUUCGGCAAUUGAUCCAAAUCAAUGUCUUUGUGUUGAGGAUUUGUUGUAGACAUGAAUGGCCAAUUAAUAUUCUCCUCGGAAGGAAUAUUAUUGUCGAGGAAAACCAAGUUACCAUUUUCCUCAUUAUCCUCACAAAAAAUAUCAUCAUGAACAACUUCAUCAAAUCCAUAUGCCUGCUUUAUGUGUAAAGAUUUUAUAUCUUGAAGUUUCUCUAAAUCUUGAGAAAUCAAAAGUAAAAUCCUCAACAUUCUAUUUAAAACUUCUUUCAAGACAAAAUCUUCGCAGCGAUGUUGUCGUUUCAUGAAUCAAUUUUUUUCUUCUUUUCUCUUUUCUAUCUCUUUUUUUUUUUUUUAACUAAACGGAAAAAAUCAAAGAAGGAAAAAAGGAAAGGUUUAGUGGUAGAUGGAGUUAGAUCGGUGAUACCAGGUUUUAGCUCUGAUACCAAACUGAUGCAGCGAAAGUUUAAUGUUCAAAAUAUUCCGUUGAUUCUAGAGAAUACCGGAAUAAAAGAACAACUAAAUUCACGUUGAUUCAAAAGAAUACCGCGAACUUAGGGGUUAAGACUCGUUGAUUCAGAAUACCGAGAAUUAACUGUUCAAAUACUCACAAAGAGAUUUGAAAAUUGAAAUAUUAUUGAACUCAAAAUUCUGCUUGUAAAAGCUACAAAACACACUUAUUUUUACUAAGUAAAACUUAUCCUAAUAUGAUUAGAAAACCUAUUUUAAUAAGACUUAUACUUAAAUUAGGAAUAUUACCCAAAUAAGCAAUACCUAAACAAUAAGACUCUAAAUAGGAAACCAAAUUAAACUAGAAUACAAAUUAAUUAAAAUAUUUCUAAAUAUUAUACAUUUAACUCUAAUUAGGAUUUCUUCAAUUUCUUGCUCUGCAUCAAUCCUCCACCUGAAUCUUUAGGUCACGACAUUGGCUGAUAGUGUGACCGUGAGUGUCGUGGAAUUUGCAGAAUCUGCUCUUAUCCCGUCGGUGAGCAGGUUUUGUUAUAGGGGCUGGAGGGUACAGCAGGCCUCGUCCCUCGAUCCUCUCAUAUAGUUCCUCCAUGGAGAUUUUUAAUGGAGUGUAUUGUCUAUAUGCCACGCUAUGGUCAACCAAUUGAACUGCUUAGCUGUCAUGGAUGUCACCUCGGGCUGGUAUAGACGGUAGCUGCUCUUGUCGUCCAGACCUGGAAUUAGUUGCAUUGAACGCUCUGGGAGUGUUGUGAUAAGGGUGGGCAGCCAUCUGCCUGAAUUCUCGCUGCCGCUCUGGGAACGGGGGUGCGGAGGUUGAGCCCGGCUGUGUUGGAACUGUUGUGAUCUCGGAGCUAUGGGGUAAGGGCGGGACCGAGCUAAUAUUCUGCCCAUUACUGAAGAUUCCCCCGCUCGCUUUCCCGACCCGCUCCCUUUCGGGGCUCUCCGUUCCUUUCGCCUCAGCUCUUCCAGCUGUUCACUUUUUAUUCUUACUGAUUUCACCUCUUCGAUUUCUAUAUCUCGCCUCGCCUGCUCAUACCCCGCUGAGUAAUUCUGUACUAGGGGGCUUCUUAAGUUAUACCACAAUCGGCCGAUUCUUACACCUUCUUUUAAUCCCCUCAACGCCUCCGGGUGAUUAAAAGCUCCCAAAUCCAGCACGGCUCGGUGAUAUCGUUUUACAAAAUCUCGAAAGGAUUCAUGCUCCUCCUGUUUCAUCCCCAUCAGUUCCAUCAUGUCAUCCUCUGGGGCCACUGCCCCUCGGAACUGUUCGGCCAACUCCUGGCACAUCUGCUCGUACCCCUUUAUACCUCCUCGGGGCAGCUUGCGGUACCAUUCUCGGGCUCGUCCCUCUAGUGUCAAUGGGAACACCCUGCACCUCUGAGCUGGUGUCAGCCCCUGCACAUCCGUCAUGUCGUUGAAACGCUCAAUGUGCACCAGCGGGUCACUUCGCCCGGAAUAUUUGAGGUCGGGGAAGCAGAAGUCUCUUGGGAUUACGGUACCCAUGAUCUCGGUUGAUAACAGAGAUUCUUCAUCUAGCAUUAUCCUCCAGCUCGGAGGCUUUUUCUUGCCCUGUAUCUCCUCCAUCACCUACGCCAAUCUGCGCACCUCCCCCUCCAAUUCUAUAGCACGGUCAGGAUCACGUGCUGCUAUCUGAUCUCGUUCCUGCUCGGCGUUCUGCAACCGCUGUCUGAGCUCUCCUUCAUCAACACUGGCCCCUCGGCCAUUAAUUUUCAGUAUUCGUCCGGGGCGAGGUUGGUCCCUCCCUUCAUCCACGUGUUCUCCUGGAACCCGACCAAUACUUCUGUGGGGAUGCAUCCCAUUAGGUUGGUCUGCGGGCGGAGGGAUUUCCUCGACUCUACGCCUCCGGAGACUGGGUUCUGCUCCAACUUCAUCUCUUCCCACGAGGGUUUCACAGUCCCUUCUCCGCUUAUCCCUCAGCUCACACAGUAUGGUCGUGAGAGUCUCCAUUUGUUUCUCCAUCCGCUCCAGUCGAUCUUGCAUCAUCCUCUCUCGGGCUUCAGUUGCAAUUUCCCGGAGAGUGAUUGUCUCCACAGUUUCAUUGUCCUCCCUUAAAGCAUCAUUCCUUGACACAUCUAUAUCCAACCGUUCGUUUCUUCUCCGGUAACUACUAAUUUGGUGGUAGCUUUUUAUUCAGCUCCCCAUAGACGGCGCCAAAAUGUUGAUGCCGAAAUCUGCUCGUCCUAUGCCCGACUAGAUCUUUACACCAACGUUUGUAAUAUCAGCAAUGAGGAUGUCAAUUUCUCCUUGCUUCAACGAUCGCUCUGGUUGCUGAAGUUAGACUUCUCAUUCUUUUUCUCACUAAGCCUGCGUUCACAAAAAUGGGUCAGAGACGCCGGUGGUUUUGCCGGCGUAAACCCUCCGAUGCCUAAGUUAGCACAAGGUAUUUUACGGGAAAACGGUGCAAUUAAGGUUCAAAUAAUUGCUUAGAAUUGACUCACUAUUGGUACUAAAAAGGGUCUGGAUACAAUUUGGCAGAGUUUUCCCCUCUCUCAAUUUUUAUGUCCCUUUCUUCAUCGAUUUCUUCCCCUUUUAUAGCCGUUGUCCCACGUUUUCAUUCACCCUCCAUCCCCCUUUUUCGGGUAGUGGCAGCCCCUCAUGGGAUUCUAACUGCUGCAUUGUGGGCAAACGUGGGAUCUCGCGUCUCCCUCAACGGUUCUGGGAGAAGCGCAACUGUCGUGAUUCUGUGAGAUCGUGUUCCCGCUCUUUGGGGGAUGGGCACCGGCUCGGUAUAUGUCUCUGGUCGGUAUACUCUUCUGGCUGGUACUCGUCUCUGGUCGGCCCAUUUGUAGAAGGCUCAUUACCAGUGUUCUGUUCGUACCACUCGGCUGAGGUGGUCCACCUCGGCGUGGGGAUGAUGACAUGGCCGAGCUGGUGCUCUUAUCUACUUAACAAUAAUUAAAUUUAAUACAACUGCUAUUUAUAUAGUAGUUUUUUUUUUUAAAAUGAAUAUACACAUAUCAUGAUAUUAUUUAUUUAUUAUAUAAUUGAUAUAAUAUUUCUGAUAUAUUUUAAUUUUUUUUUUGUAAAAACUAAUAAAAAAAUUAUUGUAAUGUCAACAUUUCUAUCAUAUGCUAGAAUUUGAGUGAAAGGUCUUUGUACAUCAACAUACUGAUGUGAUGGGACUAUCUCACAUAGAUUUUUAACUUUAAUAAUGGUGCUGCUUUUGUCUAAUUAAAGUAUUGGAAAUCCAAUGAAUUUGGAGAGGUAUGGCUACGAGAUGAUUAAAACCUCCAUUAUAUAAAGUUAUAUCGUUAAAAAAUUUUUAAUGGAUCACACACAACUUAAAUUGAAAGAAAGCCAUUGAAGAUAAGAAUUGAUAACACUCUGCGCAUAGUCUACCACGCAAUCUUUCACAAUUUUUAAAUAUUAACUUAAAGAUUGCCACUUUUGGAUCUGAAUCGCCUAUUGAUCUCAUCUUUUUUCUUUUUUCUUUUUUUUUGUUGGGUUUAAUAAUAAUUACACACCACAAUUUUUGUAUUUUACUCGACACAAAACCAUAUAAGCAAUUAAGCAUGCAUGGAGAUUGGAGAAUCUCAGCUGUAUUCCUCAUAAGCGAACUCCAUCUACACAAAACACCACCCCAUUAGAACAUAAUUCAUCUUCAGCCCCGUGUUUGCUCUACAAAUCGAUGUAGUGACAGAUCUAAUUAGGGAUGGCAAAAUUCGGGUCCAGUUCCAGGUUCGGCCUUCCCGGUUCCGGACCCGGAUGUCAUUUUCUUUUACCGGACCCGGAUAUAAACCCGACUUUUUUGCAUGCGGGUCCGGUCCGGGUUCAACCCGGAAAAAUUAAGGUUUCCGGAUUCCGGGUUUGAAACCCGGAUUGUCUUUUGAAUUAUGAUUAAAAAAUGAAAAAAAAAAUUGGAAACUACAAUUCAAUCACAAAUUAAAACCGAUUAACCAUUUUUUUUCCAUGAAAUUCAGGCAGGUACACAAGAUAGACCCUAAUAUGAAGGCGUUGCAAAUACUACCAACAAAAUUCAAUAAAUUAAUAACCUAAUAUAGAAAGUGGAUGCACGAAAAUUACAAUUAAUUUUGAAUUGUAAUGGCAUCAAAGAUCGUGGCCCACCCAAAUCCACCAUGCAAUGCCAUCAAAGAUAGCCCCCACCAUGGAAUAUGACAAACGAGAAGCAGAGGCGGGCUUAGAGGUGGAAGCUAAUCCACUCGAUUUUGCAACAGUUGAACGAUUGAGAAGGAAUGGAGGUCGCAGCAGUGCAGAGAAGAGUAACAUAGCAACUGAUGAUGAUAAUGAACACAGAGAAGAGAAAAUGGCGGAAGUGAUGACGACGACGACUUGAUUUGAAGAAGAGAAAAGGAAAUAUGGUUGGCGGCCGGCGGAUGUGAGAUUUGAGAAGAGGAAUGCGAAUUGCAAAAUUAGGGCCGGUUGUGCGCAUUAUUGUUUCCUUCCUUUCUUUUCUAUUUAUAUUAAAAAUUAUUAAAAAAUUAAUAUUAAAAUGAAAGAUAUCCGGGUCCGGGUUUCGGAUAUGCGGGUUCACCCAAACCCUGACCCGGUCCGGAUAUCAUCCGGGUUCAUAAAAUUAAAUCCGGAUCCGCAUUUUAUUAAGCUCCAAUACGGGUUCAACCCAGACCGGAUUAUCCGGGUUCGUCCAGGUUAUUCUGUCAUCCCUAGAUCUAAUGUACGAAUUCAUCAAUAAUAUAUGAUUUCUUUUUUUAUACCGACG